rnacentral:lncRNA from 1 species
ACAUGGACAGAAAUCGAAGUAUGUAACGGGUGAAGCUACCAUCAUGCCUCCAGGUCGUUCAGGUUUCUCGGAACUUUGACAAAAAGUUUUGAAACGAAGAGAAACCUUCCAUCGCAUCGUGCGGCAUGUUAAGCGUGAAAGGGGGAAGAACACUCGGACCAGCCUUCAGGUUCUUCGGGCCAGCGGCUGACGGUAGCGCAAGUGCAGGCUGCUGUCUGUUGAGCUUUUCUAUGAUGUACGAGAAAGUUCCAAAAGCCAGGCAGCUCUGAAUCAGAGUUUGCGGUGCACCUGCAACAGACAGCAGAAAAUAUGGUACUGAGGUGAUCGAUACAUAUGAAGCAGUUUAUUUAUGCUACAGGAGCAAAAAUAGAAACAUUAACUCCUGCCCCACUCCCUACAAAAAGCAAAGAGAGAAGUUGUAUUCUCAGCACAAAUGAUGAUCCAAACUAACCCCUUUGAUUAUACGAUUUUGGUUAGUAGAAUCUACAUUUCUACGAUCCUAAUAGUUAAGAUUCUACCACUGGUGAUCACUGGUGGAGCUACAGUGGAUUUCUUGGGCGGCCCAACCUGAAGAAGAAACCAUAAGAGAUGGGCCAGGCCACUUGGCAAGCUAGUUAGGCAGUUUUUCAGCUAGGCAGGGCGGGCCAGAGCACAGGUUCGCCCCAACGUAGCUCUGAUCCGAUUCAAAAUAACGAUUUUGACAACCUUGUCGAGCGACCAAGCGGAACGCUCGUUUCAGCAUCUCUCCCUCUCUCGAUCCGCGACGACGGCAAAGCACUCCCACCUCUCCCUCUCCGGCAACGGCUGUCCUAGCCUCCCCCCACUUCUGUCCUCUGAUGGCAUGCAGCAGCAGCGGGCAGCCAGGUACAAGCUGGGUGACGAUCAAGCAGCUGGACGGCGGCUGUAGCGGACAGCUUGGGCAGAGCGGAGGCAGUAGAAGGAGCAGAAGGAGCAGCAGCUCAUGGGCUGUGGCUGGUAGUUGCAGGUGGCGGCCUCACAUGCUGGGCGGCGGCCAGGCGCUGCACGUCUCGAUUUGUUGAGCGACACAACAUGAGGAAUUGGCAGGCGGUGGCUACACCACAGAAGAGCAGGCUCUGCUCCAUUGUCCACUCUCCCUUGUGCGUUUGCUAGACUAGUGAUAAUCACCUAAAUGGAAAUUGUACAUGCUUUUUCUUGCCUUUUGCAACUACAGAAAAUUUGUGCAUGUUGUGGACCAUUUAUUGAUGAUUCUUUCUAAAUUUGUUAGUAAAAUAUGAUUGUGUAAGACUAUUGAUGUUAUUUAUUUGACAUGAUUGUGAUGCAAAAUAUAAAUUAUUGGUGAACAAAAAAUAAAUAAAACAUUGUUUUGAAAUUAAAUAAAGUGAUUCCGAAAAUACAAUUAAUGUUGCAUAUAUAGCCAGAAAAGCAAAACACUAAUCUGAACAUUUCUCAUUAUUCCAUUCCAUCAACCAAACACUGAGAUGUAACUGUUUCAUUCCACCUCAUUAUUCAUACGAAACACAAAGAUGGAACCAUUACAUUCCAUUCCACUUGGUUCUUCAACCAAACACACCCUCAGUGUCUUUGGCGGCACGGCUGGCUUCUGGGCGAUAGGGCAUGCUCGUGGCGGCCAUGGCGGCGACCUAUGUUNGAUAUGGCGUCCAGCGGAGGCUAGCGGCGCGUGUCGAUGGCUUCUGUUGUGCCUAAGACGGCAAUGGCUGGCGACAAUGGUGGCCCAACAGUGCUCGGUCACGACAGCUGCCAAGGCUUCGCCUUUCUCUAUGGGCACGUAGGGCGUGUGAGAUGGUGGCCCUAGGCAGGUUACGGUGGGGGUGGCGACAGUGUGGGGUCCUAAAGGAGGAUGCGGCCGGCGAUGCCGAGGCUGCCCGAAGACCGAAAGUGUCGGUUCCUGGGCAGCUCCCUAUUGAGAUCUGGAGGAGCCAAAUCUUGAAGGAGCACUAGCUGCCGAUCCGUCCAGAGGUUUUGCAGGCAGGUGGCUGGCGCGCGAGCCGAGGUGCAGGGUUUGGGUAUCCCACCCCCCUCAUGGACGGGCAGUUCGUUGGGCAGCCAUGGCGGCGGUGCUGCCCGGCUAUGGCCGUUGGCCUUGUGGUGGGACCCCGAGGGCAGGUGUCUUCUUCCCUUCGGUCGGCGACGGCCACAUGCUAUGCCGUCGGUGAGAGGUUCGGAUAGGGAUGUCGAGGCGGUGGCCUCAGGUGGCGGGCUACUCGAUAGGCUCUCGACGGGUGUACGGGUGUACGGGUGGCACAGUGGUGGUUGUGCUUCUUGGUCAUGUGGGUGGCGAGAGGUGUUGUGGUGGGUGGCAUUGGUGUCUUCUCUGUUGUGGCAGCGAAGGUGCGCAGAUCUGGUCAUGGAGAUCCCGGCUUCGUAGCAGCGGUUGACUUCGUUACUUCUUUGUGGCUCAGGGUAACAACCGGGUGAAAGCUCUGCGCUUCGUCCCCGGCAGAGACGGCGUCCAUGGGUGCUACUUUCCUCUUGAGGAUGUUGUCGCAGUUUCCCCUACCAGGUUUCUGAGUGAAAACAUUUGUUUGUUCCGUCGGCAACGGCGAUGAAUUGUGCCAUUUCCCUCUUGAGAGUGCCUUAUCUUUGGUUGUGGCGUGGUGUUGUCUUCACGCCCUUUUGUAUUCUUGCUCAUCUUCGUCGUGUCUUCCCAUCCGAUGUGUGUUGUCCAUUUUUUUUUCUAUUUUCUACUUUGUUUGAGGGCUUCCUCACCAUCAUGUAUCGUUCAACCAUGUACUUGUGGUUCGUGCUUUACCAUCCAUGCCAGCAAUUGUGCAUCCAUAAAUGGAACCAAGGGGGUAAGGCAAAUCAAGGAGACAAAAUAAAAAUCUAUGACAUCAAAACUGUAAGAACUAAGAAAAUGUGUCAUGUAACACCAAACUAAUUCGGAAAUCAUUAGCAAUAUGCGGUAAACCACAAGAGAGUACAGAAGCAAGUGUACAACUGAUGGAGAACUCAAAACGAUCAACUUUUUAGCCAUAAAACUUGCAACUGAUGCCAGAUAUCUAACCAUGACCUAAAAGGCUAUGCGUGCUUUCAAAACAAAUCACAAGUCCAGAAACCACCAUGACACUAGCACACGUUUGCAGCCAACACUGGGGUUGCCAACCAGGUAAAUUUUUUAUCCAAAUAACCUACACUAGGCAACUAGAAUAAUACAGGCAAAUCAUUUUCACUCUUACUGUUAAACUACAUUAAACUAUGUCAAAACCAUGGUCUUUGGGCAAGGUAUCCAGGAACAACGUUAAAUUUAGAUAGUUCCAGCUAUUAAUUGCAUUGCUAUAACUUUACCUGGAAAACUCAAAGCAAGGCCAGUGCAACAGCCUGCAACUCCUGCAUUAAUAACUGUAGACAAAAGAUCCACAAGUCAAUGGUCAUCCUUGUCAUUUUAUACACCCUAAGUACUUCAAAAAAGGUAGCAGAAUAGCAGCACAAUCUUAAAGGGGGCAUCAAAGACAGACCGUCAUCUUUUCCACGUAGCUUUCUCAAAGAGCAAGAAACCAAACUUUGAACGCCGGCAAGAACAGCAAAUAUCUAGAACAACAGACAAAAUUCUCAAUGUGAUGGUUAACAGAGAAAAGUCUAUUCCAAACGAAAUGAACAUUGGUAUCCAAUUAAUGAAAUAUGUAUCAUCAUACCUUAGCAGAAGAGGCAGCGUCAGCAAAUGAGCCUUUAAACCCUUUUGUGGUAACCAAACCUUUUCCUAAAAAAUCACCAGAUAUAGUUAACAUAACAAAGAGAUAAUUGUUGUGUUUUGAAUAGAAGGAUGACACACAGCAGGGCAGCCUGACAUAACGUAUACCAAACAAAAAUAUUGUGCACAAUGAACACACAAGGCUGAACCAAUUCAAAUUUACAGGUAGCAUUAAAUGAUUGAAUUGAUUUGACAUGACCACCAGAUCCACUACCAUAUUCCAUAAAAGAUCUACAUUGUUAUAUUCAAGGUGGUAAUGGACGUAACCAGAUAGGCUAUUUUUGUUAUCCGCAAAUUAAGGUGGCAUUUAGUUGGUGAUUGGUUCACUUUGCCUCAGCCUGACUGUCAGUGGUGGAGUGCACAAAGCAGCAAUUGGUUUCUUUAUACAAAAUUAGAGCAGUGAUUAAGUAUCACCCAUGCAUGUUGAGCAACUUAACAUGAUAACAGACACCGCGAAGCUCCAUACGUGCCUCCUUUACUAAGAAAGACCCUGCAUGAGAAUGCAAUGUCGGGAGCAUCUAAUCUACCAAUUAAUCACCAGGUCUAGGUAAAACAGAUUUGACAAUUGACAUGCUUUGGAUUUUGGGCAUCCAAAAACUUCUUUGGAUGACAAUGAGACGCAAAAUCCAAAAAUUGGAUUCUAAAAUUAGGCGUAUGCUUGAACCUAUUUCUGUGCCAAACCACUGGUAACAGAUUAGCAACCAAGAACGGAGCUAGGUGUGUAACUCCAUUGUCUCUUUGUGUGUUGCUUUUACUUUAGUUCUUAGUCCACAACAGGUUGUAUGAACACACCACAAACACACAGUAAACAUACGAGUUGAGUAUGUUUGUAUGAGCCAAAAGAAAGUUCUCUACCAAAUUUUCUGAGAAAACCCGCACAUGUUCUGUAACAUUUUCUUUCAUUUGGCAGCAUUAGCAAGUAAUUUCCCCCCCCCCAUUUUAUCCUUUUGCAAGGAAUAAACACACACUGCAGCUUCCAGAUAGGUACGUAUGCAUGCAGUCAGGCCUUGAAUCAAGUAAACGGAGCAAAAACAAUUUGGUUUUACCAACAUUUCUGAGAAACUUCGCACAUGUUUCAAUCUCAGUAAGCACGUGCUUUUUCACGAGGAAUAAUUAUGCGGUUAACUGUAAAAUCCAUCAAUAAUCUGCUCCAUAAUCCUUGGUGCCAGUGUCACACAAAUUAAACAAAAUUGCUACAAGUUCAACUAUCCUGAAUAUGUAACUGUAAUCAGCUGCAUGAAACCCAAACAACACACCAUGUGCUGCAAUUGAGCCUUAUCUCCUAAAUGUCCUCAACACUGGCACAGUAUACUGCGAAUCUAACAAAGAAAAACCAUAAUCAAUGCCUUAUGAAUGACACUACCCAUAGACCGUGUGAACAAUCAGUACUAAGAGCUCAAUUGCACACCCCAGAUUAGACGAACACCUUAAGACACAACCUUAUGGAAUAUAAUCAAAUCUGAUCUCCUGCCAGUCAAAAACCUUAUCAAAUUACGAGAGGCCUAAAAUAGAAAGGGAGCCAGCCAGGACCAAAGAUCGCAGAGCCCUAACCCUAACGGACGUGUCGAGCCGAACGAGGAGGUGGAGGGGACGGCGGUGUUACCAUAUCCAACGACGGCUCCGACGAGGGAACCGGCGGCCGACUCCCAGGCGAAGCGGAGGAGGCAGACCCCAGGNNNNNNNNNNNNNNNNNNNNNNNNNNNNNNNNNNNNNNNNNNNNNNNNNNNNNNNNNNNNNNNNNNNNNNNNNNNNNNNNNNNNNNNNNNNNNNNNNNNNNNNNNNNNNNNNNNNNNNNNNNNNNNNNNNNNNNNNNNNNNNNNNNNNNNNNNNNNNNNNNNNNNNNNNNNNNNNNNNNNNNNNNNNNNNNNNNNNNNNNNNNNNNNNNNNNNNNNNNNNNNNNNNNNNNNNNNNNNNNNNNNNNNNNNNNNNGACUUCAAUGAUUGCCGUAAAAGAUAGCGCGUGAGAGCCCCAUACCUGACCAAACGAGCCGGCCCGACACGGCCCAUGGUAAUCGGGCCUGGCACGGCACGGCCCGUCCAGGCACGUUUAUUAAUCGGGUCGUGUCGUGUCAGCCCGUGGGCUGCGCCUCUAGGCCUGUAAGAUUUGAGAGAGAGAGGUUUUGGAUCAGCACACUUUAUUCAAUCUAAACCAUGAUGUCUAACAGAAAACCCUAAGGAGGUAGUCAGCGGCAGCAAUCGUGCGAGGUGGGUUAGUGCUGGGUUAUCGAUUCCGAGGCAUGCGGACGUGCAUGCGUGCUGGGUCAUCGCCAUGCAUGGGCUUGCUUGAGGGCCAAGUCGGCCGACGCCAUGGGCUGUAGUGAGGUCUAUUCCAAAACCACCCCUCCCCCCCCCCGCCCGCAGUCGAUGCCUCGCUGUCGGAGAUGCAUAGACCGGAGCGGAAUUCCCGAAACAUCGACGGUGGAAGCCCCUUGGUCAUGACGUCGGCGAACUGUUGAGCCGUAGGUACGUGAAGAACACGGACAUGCCCCAGCGCCACCUUCUCGCGGACGAAAUGGAUGUCGAGCUCGAUGUGCUUGGUGCGACGGUGAUGGAUGGCAGAGAGGUACACCGCCGAGACAUUGUCGCAGUAGACUACCGUGGCUUUGGCGACGCCGCAUUGUAGCUCAGUUAAGAGCUGACGCAGCCACGAGCACUCGGCAACCGCAUUGGCAACGGCAGGGUACUCGGCCUCCGCGCUAGAGCGGGACACGGUGGGUUGCCGUUUGGACGACCACGACACCAGCGAAGGCCCCAUGUAGAUGCAGUAGCCAGAGGUGGAGCGGCGAGUGUCGGGGCAGCCGACCCAGUCGGCGUCGGAGUAGGCGACGAUGUCGAGCGACGAGGAGGCGCAGAGAGAGAGCCCAAGCGAGGGCGACCCGUGGAUGUACCUCAAGAUGCGCUUCACCAAUGUCCGGUGAACGUCACACGGAGCAUGCAUUGUGGAGGCAGACUUGUUGCACCGCGUACUCGAGAUCGGGCCUCGUCAGUGUCAGGUACUGGAGGGCGCCGACGAUGCUGCGGUAGAAGGAGGCAUCGGAGAAGGGGACGCCAGCCUGCCCUAAGACCUUGCCCGAGGUGUCGAUGGGGGUAGAUGCUGGCUUACAGUUGAUCAUGCCGGCGCAGUCCAGCAGUUCGAGGGCGUACUUCUUCUGGCAGAGGAAGAAGCCAUCGGAGCGGCGCGUGACCUCCACGCCCAGGAAGUAAUGGAGCGCGCCAAGGUCCUUCAGGGCGAACUCGCAUUGAAGGAGACCGACGACGCGACGGAGGAGAGCGUCGGUGGAGGCCGUCAAGACAAUGUCAUCGACGUACAGCAGAAGGUACACCAUGUCAGUGCCACGGCGGUAGACGAACAACGAUGCGUCGGACCUGGUGAUGACGAAGCCGACACGGACCAGGAACGCGGUAAUGCGUUGGUACCAGGCGCAGGGAGCGUGCUUGAUGCCGUAGAGGGACCGAGAGAGCAGGCAGACGUCGUCGGGGCGCGCAGGGUCGACGAAGCCAGCCGGCUGCUGGCAGAAAACUUGCUCCGUCAGGUGCCCGUGCAAGAAGGCGUUGGAGACGUCGAGUUGAUGGACGACCCAGCGGCGCGAGUAGGCGAGCUGAAGGACACAAUGACUCGUGCCCGGCUUCACGACGGGGGCGAAAGUCUCGGUGAAGUCGUGUCACGCCCAAGAUGCGACCCUAUCCUCAAUUUGGCACGAGGGCCUCGUCAGGGAUAGAAGCGCAUCUCGUCGUGUCGCAAGAAUGGAUAUCGUUACAAGUACAUGUACUAAAAGGAAGAGAUAUAUAAUAGAAUUGGCUUACACUUGCCACAAGCUACAUCAGAGUCACAUCAGUACAUUACAUAUUCAUCAUGAAGAAGAGCAGGGUCCGACUACGGACGAAAACAAACGAGAAAAGAAGAACGGCGUCCAUCCUUGCUACCCCAGGUUGCCGGCCUGGAACCCAUCCUAGAUCGAUGAAGAAGNNNNNNNNNNNNNNNNNNNNNNNNNNNNNNNNNNNNNNNNNNNNNNNNNNNNCCUUUACCUGUAUCUGCAACUGGUGUUGUAGUAAUCUGUGAGCCACAUGGGACUCAGCAAUCUCAUUUCCAAAGGUAUCAAGACUAGCAAAGCUUAAUGGGUGAGGUAAGGUUAAGUGGUGAGGUUGCAGCAGCGGAUAAGCAUAUAUUUGGUGCCUAAACUUACGAGUACAAGAAAUAAGAGGGGGAAGAUCUACGCAUAACGGACGUGAACUACUGGUGAUCAAAGGAAUGAUCCUGAGCACCUACCUACGUCAGACAUAACCCCACCGUGUCCUCGAUCGGAGUAAGAACUCACGAAAGAGACAGUCACGGUUACGCACCUAGUUGGCAUGUUUUAAUUAAGUUAUCUUCAAGUUAUCUAGAACCAGUGUUAAACAAAGCUUCCACGUUGCCACAUAACCGCGGGCACGGCUUUCGGAAAGAUUCAACCCUGCAGGGGUGCUCCAACUAGUCCAUCACAAAUUACCACAAGCCGCAUAGAAAUCCUCAAUCACGAAGCUCGCGAUCUCGUCGGAUUUCCUAGUGGAAAACCUCAACUCUGAGAUUACCCAAAGCAUCACCGGAAUCCCGAUGCACAAGAUAUCUCGUCAAAGGUAAAACUAAUCCAGCAAGGCCACCCGCGCGUGUCGACGAUCCCGAUAGGAGCCGCGUAUCUCGUUCUCAGGACACGAUGGAUGAGCGACGCGUACGGUGGCCUGAUAGAAAUCACCCAAGUUUCCCUGGGUUGGCCCCGCACAGUGCUCUGUUUUGGACCAGCACCAUCAGCACUGGCCCUCCCUGUAUUAUGUAGAAUUACUCCUCGGGUUCAUGACGCCCUAUGCUUUCAGUAUUAACAAAAUUAUUAUGUUGGGAAAAUGUAGUACCAAUGUUGGGCCUUGCCAGACCAGCUUUAAUCUAAAACGAAUUAUCAAGGGGGUCCCCAUAACAACCCCCAUCGUGUUAGGAGCGCUCAAUUAUGGAACAUAACACCGGUAGCCGAAACUAAGGGGGCAAAGGUGGAACAAAACACCAGGCUAGAAAGGCCGAGCCUUCCACCUUUUACCAAGUAUAUAGGUCCAUUAAAUUAAAUAGCAUUAAUAUGGUGAUAUGACAAGGAACUCAUGUUUUCACAUGGAAGCAACUACACCUGCAACUAGCAACGCUAACAACAUGGUUAAGCAAGCAGUAGCAUAGCCAAUCAGUGGUUUGCUAGGUUGAACAAGUUGAAGGUUUCAUGGCAUUGUUGAGAGGCUGAUAUUUAACAUGUGGUAGGCAACGAGACAUAAUCGAUAGAAGCGGUAAAACUAGCAUGGCAAUGAUAGUAAUGGUAUCCGGGGAAAUGGUCAUCUUGCCUGAGAUCCCACUUGGAAGAAGAACAACUCCGUGAAGUCGGCGAACCAAUGUGGUCAGACGGGUCCUCACAUUCCGACACGCUUGCGGAACUCUAUUGAGACGGAGCAAACCGGAAACAAACAUCAACACAGAUAUUCACCACACGAUGCACAACAUGAUGCAUACCCAAUAUGAUGCAUGGACGCCCAACCCCUAAUGAUGCACUUAAACCAUCCUACAUCGGUAAACAGGUGCCACAUCAUCAUGAAGUGACACCUCAGCAGGACUGCCCAAAACUGGAAACUACUAACUCCAUUGGAUUCCUUGGGUUCUCCUCCCCCAAAUCUAUAUACUACACUCCUAUAUAUGCAUGCAGAAAAACACCAGAAACAGCAAAGGAAAAACUACACAAGAUCAAACUCUGCUAACAACAAGAACAGGGGUUGUUCUUGAUAUGCCAGAUUUGGCAUAUACCUCUUCUGAAAUAUCCAGAUAUGGAAAUACAUCACAACACCAAUCAACAAAAUUAUAUAAUCGUCAGGGGGUCCCACUGGUCAUACUCACCAGGGCCCCUAGUAAGGCAUGUGGGCUCUGGACCCACUGACAGAGGCACACUACAACAAGCAACUAAAAACACAAGGGAAAAAACUAACAUGGGAGUAGGGGGACUCGAACCCACUACCUUCUUGCAAGACAACAGGGCAAUCACCACUGAGCUAGGCUCGGAUCACUGCCCUAACAAGGGGAGUAACCCACCUAUGCUACACGUGCAGACAACGCAACAAAUUGAAACAAAAACCCAAAUAAGAGGACGCGCGAGGGGCUCGAACCCUCGACCUACUGGCGCUGCAGUGGCUCGGUUGCCACUACGAUGGUGAAGUAUAACUGCUAGAACAAGGGAAGAAAUGCACAUAUGCAGGCUCUGCUAGCUAGCACAGGAGAACAAAAAUCGUAGAGAAUAAAAGGGGGGCGCUGGGUCUCGAACCCGAGACGUUGAGAACGAAAACAUGCUCGAUGCCACUGCGCUACCGUGGGGAUUCUGCCUAAGAAGGGAGCAAAGCAGAUCUAAAAGAAAACAUGGGGCGUCGCUGGAGCAGGGAGACGCCGGCGACGACGACGCGCGCCAGAGCCACUCGCCUGCAGGCGCAUACGACGCACAACCACGCGAUGCGCUACGUCCCUCGCGUCACUACAUAGCAGGCGCGGAACCUACGCCUAUAAGACGCAUGCACGCAGAGCUGCGGAAACUAGCGCAUCCUGCCGGUGCAACUCCGACAGGGCGGCGCCCACGCGCAACAUCGGCGACCUACUGCAGAGAGGGAAACGAAGGGGGGAUAGAGCUGCGCUCACCCAGGGUGCAGAGAGAGGGCUCGCGGGAGGGGAGACACGCCGCGCGACGACGUCCUGCUGCAGAGAACUCGUCGGAGAGGAAGAAGGACCAUCCGCCGAGGAGGUCGAGGCCGUCGUCCUUGGCGCUAGCUGCCCGUGGGAAUGGAACUCCAUGGGCGCCCGCGAGCUCCUGGUCCAGGAGGGGGAAGAAGGGGGCGUCGGGCUACCACGCAUCAGGCACUUGCCCGAGCCGGCCAUGGUGCGGUGGAGCUCGGGAACUCGCCCCGACGGCGCUAGGAGGGANGACGAGGGUUAGGGUUUCAGAGAGUCCGAGGCUGCUAAGUAUCUCGCACCACCCGCUCGGGGCCGUCUGAUCGAGGGAAGAAACGAUCUAUGGUGGUCAGGGGGUUCGUACGUGCUGACAUGAUCGAGGAGGAAGAAGCUGCCGCCAGCCAGGCCUGGGCUGAUUGCACUCACCUGGGCCUGGUGCUCCCUCUCUCACUGAGAAGGCCUACCUAAUAAAACAUUACAGCGAAAAUCAAACCACACGGGCUAAAGGAAAAUAGUUUUGGUGGAAACAAAAAUAUAACUGGGCUUUUAAAAUGUUGCCACUGUUUAUAAAAAUAAGUGGAACAUUUUUAGAAGUCCAAAAUUAUAUUCAUCUAAUUUAAAUGGGCUUUGAUUUUUUAAAUAAGAUAAGAAGGAAAGUAAAGUAGAAACCAGAGGGGUUGCCUCCACAAAAUGAAAAGGAUUUUUUUUAGGGAAAGAUGAACAUUUUUUUAAAUGGAGAAACAAAGCCUUUUAAACCUGCCACAAAUUAACAUAGAGAGAGAAGGGUUUUCUCCUUAUGGAGCAACAUGUGGGUUUUGACAUGCACUUGUUGCCCCCACACCUAAACAAUCACUAAGGACAUCAACACAACACUUGCACAUCACAACAAGGACACCCACAUCAACACAACCACAACAAAAGGGAAAGAAUGCAAUGCAAGAAGGCAUGAUGCACAUGAAAUGAUGACACAAAGUUAGGCUCACCCCACAUCACACCAACAUGCCAAGGUUGCCAUACAAGGAGGAUACAAAAGGGGAGGGGAGAUUGCACUUGGGCUGUCACAAGUCGAGACCAGCCCGUUGCCGGAAGCCGCGAACGACCCAGCUGCCAGGUGCGAUUCCUCAGUAGCGCGUCGUACUCGUCUUGCAUGACGGCGCGCCAGUGAGGGUCCCGGAGCGCCGAGUGGACGGACGCAGGGAGCGGCGAAGGAGCCGUCGUGGUGGCAGUGCAGACGUACUCGUUGGAGGAGUACCUCUGGCUGGGUCGAUGGACACCCGCGCGCGCACGGGUAAGCACUCCGAAGUGUACGGGGGCAGCAGGUGGGGCAGUUGAGGGAGAGGCCGGCCCCGUACUGGGCACGGGGGCAGCAGGUGGUGGAGGCGUCGUGCCGACAGGAGCGGGGCCCGGUGGUGCAGGAGACGGGGCCGAGACGCCCGGGGCAACUAGCGGAGAAGNNNNNNNNNNNNNNNNNNNNNNNNNNNNNNNNNNNNNNNNNNNNNNNNNNNNNNNNNNNNNNNNNNNNNNNNNNNNNNNNNNNNNNNNNNNNNNNNNNNNNNNNNNNNNNNNNNNNNNNNNNNNNNNNNNNNNNNNNNNNNNNNNNNNNNNNNNNNNNNNNNNNNNNNNNNNNNNNNNNNNNNNNNNNNNNNNNNNNNNNNNNNNNNNNNNNNNNNNNNNNNNNNNNNNNNNNNNNNNNNNNNNNNNNNNNNNNNNNNNNNNNNNNNNNNNNNNNNNNNNNNNNNNNNNNNNNNNNNNNNNNNNNNNNNNNNNNNNNNNNNNNNNNNNNNNNNNNNNNNNNNNNNNNNNNNNNNNNNNNNNNNNNNNNNNNNNNNNNNNNNNNNNNNNNNNNNNNNNNNNNNNNNNNNNNNNNNNNNNNNNNNNNNNNNNNNNNNNNNNNNNNNNNNNNNNNNNNNNNNNNNNNNNNNNNNNNNNNNNNNNNNNNNNNNNNNNNNNNNNNNNNNNNNNNNNNNNNNNNNNNNNNNNNNNNNNNNNNNNNNNNNNNNNNNNNNNNNNNNNNNNNNNNNNNNNNNNNNNNNNNNNNNNNNNNNNNNNNNNNNNNNNNNNNNNNNNNNNNNNNNNNNNNNNNNNNNNNNNNNNNNNNNNNNNNNNNNNNNNNNNNNNNNNNNNNNNNNNNNNNNNNNNNNNNNNNNNNNNNNNNNNNNNNNNNNNNNNNNNNNNNNNNNNNNNNNNNNNNNNNNNNNNNNNNNNNNNNNNNNNNNNNNNNNNNNNNNNNNNNNNNNNNNNNNNNNNNNNNNNNNNNNNNNNNNNNNNNNNNNNNNGGAGGCGAGCUGGAGACCUGUUGAAAGGGAAAAACAUACUCGUCAAAGUACACGUACCUGGAGAUGAGAACUCGCCCAGAUGCCGGAUCGAAGCAACGGAAACCCUUGGUAUUGGGGGGGGGGUAGCCGAAGAAUACGCAGAGAAUAGACUGGGGGCGAGUUUAUGUGGAGAAGUAGCGAGAAGAUUAGGAUAACAGAGGCAACCAAACACCCGGAGGUUGUCGUAGGAGGGUUGGUGACCAAAGAAGAGGUGAUCGGGAGUGAAUUGGCCACGAGCACGGUAGGGGCGCAGGUUGAGGGUGUGGGUGGCGCUGGAGAGAGCCUCGGUCCAGAACCGGGGCGGAACGGCGGCGUGAAGGAGCAGCGCACGAACAACGUCGUUGAGGGUACGAAGAGCACGUUCGGCACGCCCAUUUUGCUGGGAUGUAUACGGGCAUGUAAGGCGGAGGAUGGAACCGUGCGCGGAAAGCAAAGAGUGGAUGCCAUGGUUGUCGAAUUCGCGCCCGUUGUCGGUUUGGAGGCCGAGUAUAGGGCGGGAAAACUACGUUUGAACAAAGGCGAAGAACGAAGUGAGCGUGGGGAGGACAUCCGACUUGCGAUGCAACGGAAAAGUCCAUACAAAGUGCGAGAAAUCAUCGAGAAGCACCAAGUAGUAUUGAAACCCUGAAUUGCUUAUUAUUGGAGAGCACCAUACAUCACAAUGCAACAAUUCAAAUGGAAAACGAGAGAUGUGAGAAGAAGAAAAAGGAAGGCGAGUGCUCUUGCCCAAACGGCAAGCAGAGCACGAGUGAGGCGCACUUUUAAUACAUUGAAAAAGAUUGCUACGGAGGAGCUGGUGCAUGGUCGAGGCACCGGGGUGCCCCAAGCGGGCAUGCCAGAUAUCGACGCCCGCGCGAGGAGGGCGACGCCGGAGCGGAUAGAGAUCACCAGGGCUAUCACAUCGGAGCAGCACCGUCUUGGUCCGCAGGUCCUUGAUGGAGAAACCAAAGGGGUCAAAUUCAACCAAAACAAAAUUCUGACGAGUGAGUGCACGAACAGAAAUGAGAUUAGUGAUAAGCUGAGGAGAAACGAGCACAUCAUAGAGUUUAAUGGGAGAAUGAGGGGAGAGAGAGAUCACCGUGGUGUGUGAUGGGGAGAGAGGAACCAUCACCCACCACGAUGCGAGUAGAUGUAGGGAAGGGUUUAGACUGGGAGAGGAUACCAGGGUGGGAGGCCAUGUGGGAGGAUGCGCCAGUGUCCAUGAACCAGUCGUCGUUGCCGGAGUAGGCGGCCGACGAGGGAGCCUGAUGCAGGGCCGCCAGGAGCGCUGGAUCGUAGGGGGAGGACGCCCCGCCGGAGUUGCUGAGCCAGUGCCCAGGGGGCGUGGNNNNNNNNNNNNNNNNNNNNNNNNNNNNNNNNNNNNNNNNNNNNNNNNNNNNNNNNNNNNNNNNNNNNNNNNNNNNNNNNNNNNNNNNNNNNNNNNNNNNNNNNNNNNNNNNNNNNNNNNNNNNNNNNNNNNNNNNNNNNNNNNNNNNNNNNNNNNNNNNNNNNNNNNNNNNNNNNNNNNNNNNNNNNNNNNNNNNNNNNNNNNNNNNNNNNNNNNNNNNNNNNNNNNNNNNNNNNNNNNNNNNNNNNNNNNNNNNNNNNNNNNNNNNNNNNNNNNNNNNNNNNNNNNNNNNNNNNNNNNNNNNNNNNNNNNNNNNNNNNNNNNNNNNNNNNNNNNNNNNNNNNNNNNNNNNNNNNNNNNNNNNNNNNNNNNNNNNNNNNNNNNNNNNNNNNNNCGCUGCAGAGAGGACUGCUGCAUCCUCCGCUCCUUGAGGCGCAAGUAGUUGAUGGCGCGGGCGAACGUCGGCUCGGUGAGAAGGUUGAGAUUAGAAGCAGCGUUGGCGUAGUCUGAACCGAGCCCACGGAUCAGGUUCGUGAGCAUGGUGGCGUCAGAGACCGGGGCGCCCACGUCGCGGAGCUCGUCGGCGAGCACCUUGAGGCGGAGGCAGUAGUCGAAGAGCCCCAUGCCUUCCUGGGAGAGGCUGUAGAACUCGGUCGUGAGAAGCACAUGACGCUGGAGCUGAUUGUCGAGGAAGAGCUGGCAGAUGGAGGUCCAAAUGCCGAGGGCCGAGUCAUCGUCGCGGAUGACGUGCGAGAGGAUCUCGUUGCUGACGGUGCGAUAGAGCCACUUGAUGGUAGUGGCGUCAACCCUCAUCCAGUUGGCAUCGUCGCGCAUGGCGCGGGCGUCAACCGAUCUGUCGACAUGAUCCCGAAUUUGGAAUUCGCGGAAGGUCAACGAGACGUAGGUGCGCGAGGUGGAGAAGGAGGGUGUGUGGAUAUCCAGGACGACGGGGACGUGAUCCUGGAUGUGGAUGAGCCGAAGGCUGGCGGCAGAGGCAGGCUCGAGAACGGCAAAGGGGUUGACCUCGCCGGCGAGGGAGGAGCGAGGGGAGGCCAUCGCGGCGGUGGGUAGCGGAAGCGAGGAGAGGAUCAGAAGAAAACUAAUACCAUGUAAGAUUUGAGAGAGAGAGGUUUUGGAUCUGCACACUUUAUUCAAUCUAAACCAUGAGUAUUUAUACAGGUAGAUGAUCAGUGUCUAACAGAAAACCCUAAGGAGCUAGUUAGCGGCAGUGACCGUGCGAGGUGGGUUAGCAUUGGGUUAUCGAUUCCCAAGCAUGCGGACGUGCAUGCGUGUUGGGUCAUCGCCAUGCAUGGGCUUGCUUGAGGACCAAGUCGGGCCGACGACAUGGGCUAUAGUGAGGCCUGUUUCAACACCAGGCACGACCCGAUUAUUAAACGGGUCGGCAUGUUGGCCCGAUUAGCACGCUNCACGUGCCCAGCCUCCAGGCCCAGGCACGGUCCGAGGCGUGCUUCGUGUCGAGCCCGAGCACGAUUAGCCCGUGCCGGGCCGGGCCGGGCCCGUGUCGUGCCAGACACGCGGGCUGUCGGGCAAGCCCAUUUACCCGGCCCCCAUUUGGCGAGAUCUGGUUCCAGCAGACACUGUAACAAAAUCGAUGCACGUGUGGUAGUGGUGGAAAGGCACGUGGAGAAGGCGUUGAAUUUAUAAUGUGCGCCGAGCACCAUGCGCCAAAUCUAACACGUGUCGGGCCGCCUUUUCCCGUGCUUAAACUUUUCCCGCGCGUCAGAAUCUUUCGCGUGCGCUGGAGUGCACGCUAAAAUUCAAUUUUCCCUUGUGCCCACGUUUUUUAAGUCACUGUUGGAGAUGCUCUCGGGGGAACCAACUUGAGGGAGCGUGGUAUUCUUAGUCGGCCAGGUUUAAAUCUUGUGCUCGUAUUAUUUUUGAAAUUAUUUUAGGAUUUUCAGCAAUGCGCAUUUAGUGAAAAGAAUCAUUUUUGUCGACGACGAGGCGCCUAGAGUGAUUUAGUAAAUCUUAAGAUGAUAUGGUGGCUCAGUCUCUCGAAUGUGAUCAUAAGGAUAGGGUGUACGUAUAUGAGUUCAUAGGGAUGAUUAUAUACACGUGUAUAUGAGCGCUUACGUAUGUACUGUGUUAGAAAAAUACCGUCGCAUAGAAGAACACGGUUUUUUAUUUUAGAGGAAUGACCAUGUGUCUAUUAAACAAACAAUUACAAUGAAUACAUACAUAUAUACACNAUAUAUAUAUGGGGGGGGGGUCUCUUCAUGACUCAAGUGAAUGACAAGGACAAGGUUGAGAUGCCAUCUUUAUAUCAAAAUUUGUAUCAAUCAUUUCAUGACUCAAAUGGUCUGCUACAAUAAUUUCAAAGGUAUGGCACCCUCAAUCCAUCUCCCAAUAUCGUUCAAUUGCUCUUGGCACGGUGAUGUAUAAGAUUGUUGUUAAGGUAGUAGCUAAUCGUAUGAGGGGCAAUAUGAAGGUGAUCAUUAGUGAAGAGCAAAGUAUUUUUGUGCCUCGGUAUUUAAUUAAUGACAACAUUGUAUUUGCAUAUGAAAGUGUGGACACUAGGAGGCGACAAAAGAAGGGCAAGAGUUUCUCAUGCAUUGUUAAAUUGGUGAUGAAAGCCUACAACUGAAUUGAGUGGCAUUACUUGGAAGCCAUCUUGAUGAAGUUGGGUUUUAGCAUCGAUUUCGUAAGACUUAUUACGAAAUAUGUUUCGUCGGUCAGAUUCUCGGUAAGGGUGAAUCAAGAUCUUCUACCAUACUUCACUCCUACAGGGGGAUUGCGACAUGGCGUCCCAAUGUCAUUAUACCUAUUUCUGCUAUGUGUGGAAAGUUUUUCCUCGCUACUCAAAUACUAUGAUGGUGGCUAUGUGGACAAGGGGACCAGAGUCAAUUAUAGAUCACCGCGGGUGAGCCAUUUAUUAUUUGUCGAUGAUAGCCUCAUCUUCCUCAAUGCAACAAGGUUGAACUCCAUUAUUGAGAUAUGUGGAAGUGCUUCAGGGCAGAGUGUGAAUAUAGAUAAGCGGGCCAUCUAUUUUAGUCCUAACACACCGGAUCCGGUUCGACAAUUGCUGAAAACAUCCUUGGAUAUUCAUGUCGAGGCUUUCAUUGUAAAGUAUCUUGGUCUUCCAACAGCUGUGGGGCGCAUUACAAUUGAACUUUUGUACACAUGGAGAUAGGGCUCGAGGGAAGAUGCAAGAGUAGUUGGAAAAGUUAAUAGCUUGCGCCGGGAGAGAUGCAGUAUUGAAGUUCGUUGUUCAAGCGCUCCCGUUGUACAGUAUGACCACUUUUAUCUUGAACAAGAAAGUCUAUAAGAGCAUCACUUCACCAAUGGCAGAGAAAUUAUGGAGUAUCUCUUUGGACAAGAAAUCUAUGCAUUGGGUUUCAUGGUAUAAACUUGCGACUCCAAAGCGCAAAGAGGGCAUGGGAUAUUGAGACAUGCACCCCUUUAAUUUGGCUUUGCUAGGGAAGCAUGGUUGGCAUUUAUGACCUAGCCUAUAUUCCUAUAUGCAAGGGUUUUGAAGGGUCGCUACUUCCCGCACAUUGAUUUCAUGAAUGUUGUUCUUCCUCGCUCGGUAUCAGCUACAUGGCAUGCUACAAUUGCAGGAAUGGAAUCACUAAAGUUUGUUAUGAUAAAGCGAGCUGGUGAUGGAUCACCAAUUUCGUUUUGGGAUGAUAAAUGGACCGCGGGAAGUAUUUCCAUGACACCGAUGCUGAAACCGGAGAACGGGUGAUUGAAAAGGUCCCUGAGUUGAUUGAUUAGGACAAAUGUACAAGGAAUCAACAUGUGGUCAUAGAUACUUUUAUCCCGUCUCAUGCAGAUGCCAUUCUAAACGUUCCAAUUCGGCAAGGUGGAUGCAAUGAUUUUCUUGCUUGCGCAUUUGAAAAGCCAGGAAACUACAGUGUUAAAUCAGCGUACCAUAUCUCAUGACUUAAAAAGAGUGUUUGACUCUGGAAAAAGGAACGGCUACCGAGACCUCAAAGAGUGGUCAACAAUUAUGGAGUGCACUUCAGAAGUUGAAUGUUUUGCCAAGGGUUAGGGUGUUCUAGUGGAGGGUCUUGCAUGGAAUCAUGCUGGAUAUGCUUUAGGAGGGGCGCACAUUCCUGAUCUUCCCCAUGCCUGUCAGGCGAGCGAGGGCUGGGUGCGGUGCAUGUGCUCGGGUUAGCCCCAAUAGAGCAGAAAAAUCCAAGCGAUUGAGCUCUAGCUCACGGGCCUGCUCUCGUGUACAUCACCUCACCAGGUCCUUGAUGCUCUUGUCUCCUCGCGUAACAUCCAAAGGCAACCCCACGAGCGCCCUCGCUGCACUACUCUUGGCAAUUUCCCUGGUGCAAGAUAUCGAAGGCCUCAUGAGCCCCUGAUACGUCCAUUUUGCAUCAUGCUUUCAUGUUGAUAUUUAUCGCUUCUUGGGGUGUUAUUUCAUUUCACGGUACAAUACUUAUGCCUUUUCUCUCUUAUUUUGCAAGGUUUACAUGAAGAGGGAGAAUGCCGGCAACUGGAAUUCUGGCCUGAAAAAGGAGCAAGUUUGAGAUGCCUAUUCUGCGCAACUCCAAAAGCCAUGAAAAUCAACGUGGAUUUUUUUGGGAAUUUAUAAAAAAUACUGGGAUGAAGAAGUGCCAGAGGAGCGCAACCAGGGGGCCACAAGCCUCGUAGGCGCGACCACCCCCCUGGCCGCGCCUAGGGGGCUUGUGGGCUCCCUACUGGCCCACUGGCUCCCCUCUUCUGCUAUAUGAAGGGUUUCGUUCCGAAAAAAAAUCAAGAGGAGGCUUUUCGGAGGAUUCGCCGCCGCCACGAGGCGGAAGUUGAGCAGAACCAAUCUAGAGCUCCGGCAGGACGAUCCUGCCGGGGAAACUUCCCUCCUGGAGGGGGAAAUCGUCGCCAUCGUCAUCACGAACACUCCUCUCAUCGGAAGGGACUCAUCACCAUCAACAUCUUCAUUAGCACCAUCUCAUCUCCGAACCUUAGUUCAUCACUUGUAACCAAUCUCCGUCUCCCGACUCCGAUUGGUACUUGUAAGGUUGUUAGUAGUGUUAAUUACUAUUUGUAGUUGAUGCUAGUUGGAUUAUUUGGUGAAAGAGUUUAUGUUCAGAUCCUUGAUGCUACUCAUUACCUCUCUGGUCAUGAAUAUGAUUAUGCUUUGUGAGUAGUUACUUUUGUUCCUGAGGACAUGGGAUAAGUCAUGCUAAUAGUAGUCAUGUGAAUUUGGUAUUCGUUCGAUAUUUUGAUGUGUUGUAUGUUGUUUUUACUCUAGUGGUGUUAUGUGAACGUCGACUACAUAAAAUUUCACCACUAUUUGGGCUAUAGGAAGGAAUUGGGAAGUAGUAAGUAGAUGAUGGGUUGCUAGAUUGACAGAAGCUUAAACCCUAGUUUAUGCGUUGCUUCGUAAGGGGCGGAUUUGGAUCCACUAGUUUAAUGCUAUGGUUAGACUUUGUCUUAAUUCUUCUUUCGUAGUUGCGGAUGCUUGCGAGAGGGGUUAAUCAUAAGUGGGAUGCUUGUCCAAGUAAGGGCAGUACCCAAAUGCCGGUCCACCCACAUAUCAAACUAUCAAAGUAACGAAAGCGAAUCAUAUGAACAUGAUGAAAACUAGCAUGACAGAAAUUCCCGUGUGUCCUCGGGAGCGUUUUUCCUCCUAUAAGACUUUGUCCAGGCUUGUCCCUUGCUACAAAAGGGAUUGUGCCACUUUGCUGCACCAUUGCUACUUUUGUUACUUGUUGCUUGUUGCGAAUCAUCUCACCACACAACCACUUGUUACCGAUAAUUUCAGUGCCUGCAGAUAUUACCUUGCUGAAAACCACUUGUCAGAUCCUUCUGCUCCUCAUUGGGUUCGACACUCUUACUUGUAGAAAGGACUACGAUAGAUCCCCUAUACUUGUGGGUCAUCAGCCCCCCAUCACGAGGCCUCGCAAGCUGCUCCCUAUGGAGGACUCACUCCAAGCUGCACACCUCAAAGGAGCUAAGUCUAAAACACCCCUCGGGUUUUAUACCUCUCAUUCACCUCUCAAGGCAUCUUGAUUUCCUUGGCACGAGACGCCUACACGUCAAGGGGGACCCUGAGCAUCGUGCCUUAGGGACUCCUACCAUCCCUAAGAUCCCUACACCAUGUGGCCUUGUUGAGCGCAUGCUCUACACAUACCAGCAACGGUUGUAGCCCGUCCCGGGGGCUGGGUCCAAGCGACACAAGGCACAAAGGCAACCUAAAAGGGAAAUAAAGGCCUCGAGAGGAAAACAAAAACACAUAAAACAUCAACUACUUAAGACAAAAGUGCCAUAAGAAUGUUUUCACACACCCACGAGGCUGCAUAUACUUUAUUACAGCAAUGCGCCAAGGGGAGUCUAGGCGGACGAGGCACCACUGUCGUUACUCUCGCCAUCAUUGUGAGGGGUCUCUCUACCACAACCGAUGUGAUCCCUCGCAACCUCUCGUCUGAAACCAAAGUGACUAUCGAGGCAGAGAAGGUUGUCGAAAAGUCGCAUCGUCGCCAGGGUCAACAAGUCACGACACGCCUCCUCGACGAUGGCGUCCACAUCAAGCAGUUGCUUCUUGAGGUCGUCGACCUCGGCCUAGAGCUUGCCCCGCUGGCCCGUGAGGCCCUUCUGUUCAUCGAGAGUAGCCUGGGCGGAAACCAACUUGCACUCCUUCGCCAAUAGGCGCUCCCGCUCUGCCUCCCACGCAGACGGGAAAGACGAUAACUCGCGCUCCCGGGUCUCGAUGUUCGCCUCGCGGGAGGCGACCGCCCUGGGGCGCCUCAAGACCUCCUCCUCAUGUUUUGUGAGCUCGACUUAGCAGGGCGUGGGACAGCUCUCGGAGGCCUCCAUAGCCUCCUCCCGCAUUUUGAGCGGACGCUCGCAUAAAGCAGGUGGUUCCUAGAGCAUCUUCUCGUCGGCAUGAGGCCCCCUCCCGUUGUCGCUUGGCCUCCUGGCAUUAUCGAGGGCCUUCAUGAGGGACACAUGGGCAUCUUUGGCGAGCUAAUCGUGAUAUGCUUGCGCCUCCUCACCCUGCUGACGGUCUAGCUUCAUCGCCUUCUCAAGCCGGCUCUUCCCCUUCUCCAAGCGUCGCCGCUCCUCCGCGUAGAGCUUUGCCUCUGUGCGCCCCUGGGAGAGUGCCUCCCGAUCCUCGACAGCCUCGCCCUCACCCUCAAGCCGAAGCUCGCCCUCCUCCUUGCCUCCCACCAGUUUUUUCUCCAGGCACGUCGGGGCGACGGGCGAGACGACCGACUCCUUGCUGAUUGCGUUGGGUUCCCUCCAGGCUCAAAUGGUGAUGUAGCACAUCGAAGACAAGUAUUUCCCUCAGUUAUGAAACAAAGGUAUCAAUCUAGUAGGAAGAUCCACAAGACUAUGUAAGCGACACAUGCACACAAAUAGCAAAUCCUUGCAAGCCAACGCGUGGAGAGGUCAUCAAUCCCUCGUGGGUAAAGUAAGGAUAGAUUGAUAUAUGCAAAUAAGAAUGAUAGCAAAUAAAAUGCAGCAUGGUAUUUUUGUUUUUUUAUAAUAUAGAUCUGAAAAUAAAAGAGAAAACAAAAUAGAAACAUGAAUAGCAAAUUAGAGGUUGCAAAUAGAUGAUGUGAAGUAGAUCCGAUGGCCGUAGGUUUCACUAGUGGCUUCUCUUGAGAAAAUAGCAAACGGUGGGUAGACAAAUUAUUGUUGGGCAAUUGAUAGAAGAGCAGAAAAUUAAGACGAUAUUCAAGACAAUGAUCAUGUGUAUGUUGGAAAUAUGCCCUAGAGGCAAUAAUAAAAUAGUUAUUAUUAUAUUUCCUGUUUCAAGAUAAUCGUUUAUUAUCCAUGCUAUAAUUGUAUUGAAUGAAAGCAUAGAUACAUGUGUGGAUAUAUAGACAAAACAAUGUCCCUAGUAAGCCUCUAGUUGGCUAGCCAGUUGAUCAAGCAUGGUUAAGGUUUUUUGACCAUAUGCAAGUGUUGUCACUUGAUGACCGGAUCACAUCAUUAGGAGAAUGAUGUGAUGGACAAGACCCAAACUUUGAACGUAGCAUGUGAUCGUGUCAUUUUGUUGCUAUUGUUUUCUGCGUGUCAAGUAUUCAUUCCUAUGACCAUGAGAUCAUGUAACUCACUGACACCAGAGGGAUACCUUGUGUGUAUCAAACGUCGCAACGUUACUGGGUGACUAUAAAGGUGCUCUAUAGGUAUCUCCGAAGGUGUCCGUUGAGUUAGCAUGGAUCAAGACUGGGAUCUGUCACUCCGUGUGACGGAGAGGUAUCUCGGGGCCCACUCGGUGAUACAACAUCACAUAUAAGCCUUGCAAGCAAUGUGACUCAAGUGUUAGUCACGGGAUCUUGUAUUACUGAACGAGUAAAGAGACUUGCCGGUAACGAGAUUGAAAUAGGUAUAGGGAUACCGACGAUCAAAUCUCGGGCAAGUAACAUAGCGAAGGACAAAGGUAAUGGUAUACGCUAUUAUAUGAAUCCUUGGCACAGAGGUUCAACCGAUAAGAUCUUCAUAGAAUACGUAGGAUCCAAUAUGGGCAUCCAGGUCCCGCUAUUGGAUAUUGAACGGGGAGUGUCUCAGGUCAUGUCUGCAUAGUUCUCGAACCCGCAGGGUCUGCACACUUAAGGUUCGGUGACGUUUCGGUAUAGUUGAGUUAUAGGUGUUGGUGAACGAAGGUUGUUCGGAGUCCCGGAUGAGAUCACGGACGUCAGGAGGGUUUCCGUAAUGGUCUGGUAACGAAGAUUGAUAUAUAGGAUGGUUUCAUUUGGUCUCUGGAAAGAUUUCGGGCAUUACCGACAGUGUACCGAGAGUGACGAAUGCAUUUCAGGUUUUCACCGGGAGGGGCCCACCCACCCGGGAGAGAGCCUAAUAGCCCAAGGGUGGCGCACCAGCCCUUAGUGGGCUGGUGAGGCCAGCCCAAGUGGGCUAUGGCGGCUAAGGAGAAAAAACCAAAGAGAAAGAAAAAAAGGGGAGGUGGGAAGGAAGAGGAGGAAUCCUCCUUCCCCAAACCGAAUCGGAGUUGGAGUCCUCCUCUCCUCUCUCGGUCGGCGCCCUAGGGGCUCCCUUGAGCCCCAAGGCUAGCCCCUCCCCUCCUCCUAUAUAUACUAGAGGUUUUAGGGUUUUUGAGACACAACUUUGCCACGUGCAACUCAAACCUCUACUUCAUAGUUCUUCCUCUAGAUCGGUUUUCUGCGUAGCUCAGGUGGAGCCCUGCAGGAAUAGAUCAUCACCAUCACCGGCGCACCAUCACGCUGCCGAAGAACUCAUCUACUUACCCGUCUAUCUUGUUGGAUCAAGAAGGCGGAGAUCGUCAUCGAGCUGUACGUGUGCUGAACGCGGAGGUGCCGUCCGUUCGGCGCUAGAUCGGAACGGAUCGUGGGACGACGGUGAUAUGAAUCACGAAGCUGUACCACUACAUCAACCGCGUUUCUUAACGCUUCCCGCUUAGCGAUCUACAAGGGUAUGUGGAUCCGAUCUCCCUCUCGUAGAUGAACAUCAUCAUGAUAGGUCUUCGUGUGCGUAGGGAUUUUUUUGUUUCCCAUGCAACGUUCCCCAACAGUGGCAUCAUGAGCUAGGUUCAUGCGUAGAUGUAAUUUCGAGUAGAACACAAAAAUUUUUGUGGGCGUUGAUGUUCAAUUUGCUGCCCUCCUUAGUCUUUUCUCGAUUCGACGGUAUUGUUGGAUUGAAGCGGCCCGGACCAACAUUACUCGUACGCUUACGAGAGACCGGUUUCAUCGACUAACAUGCAACUUGUUGCAUAAAGAUGACUGGCGGGUGCCUGUUUCUUCAACUUUAGUUGAAUUGGAUUUGACCGAGGCGGUCCUUGGAUAGAGGUUAAAUAGAAAUUUGCAUAUCUCCGUUGUGGUUUUUGCGUAAGUAAGAUGCGAUCAUACUAGAUACCAGUAGCAUCCACGUAAAACAUGCAACAACAAAUUAGAGGACGUCUAACUUGUUUUUGUAGGGUAUGCUUGUGAUGUGAUAUGGCCAAAGACAUGAUGUGAUAUAUUGGAUGUAUGAGAUGAUCAUGUUGUAAUAGUUAAUAUCGACUUACACGUCGAUGCUACGGCAACCGACAGGAGCCAUAGGGUUGUCUUCAAACUAACGUUUGUGUUUGCAGAUGCAUUUACUAUAUUGCUAGGUUGUAGCUUUAGUCGUAAUAGCAUAGAUAGCACGACAACCGCGAUGGCGGCACGAUGAUGGAGAUCAUGGUGUGGCGCCGGUGACGAUGAAGAUCAUGCCGAUGCUUUGGUGAUGGAGAUCAAGAAGCACAAGAUCAUGGCCAUAUCAUGUCACUUAUGAACUGCAUGUGAUGUUAAUCCUUUUAUGCACCUUAUCUUGCUUAGAAUGACGGUAGCAUUAUAAGGUGAUCCCUCACUAAAUUUCAAGAUAAAAUUGUGUUCUCCCCGACUGUGCACCGUUGCGACAGUUCAUUGUUUUGAGACACCACGUGAUGAUCGGGUGUGAUAGACUCAACGUUCACAUACAACGGGUGCAAAACAGUUGCACACGUAGAACACUCGGGUCAAACUUGACGAGCCUAGCAUGUGCAGACAUGGCGGGGGGGGGGGGGGGGCAAGAGACCGAAAUGUCGAGCAUGAAUCGUAUAGUUGAUAUGAUUAGCACAGAUAUGUUUACCACUGAAACUACACUCAACUCACGUGAUGAUCGGACUUGAGUUAGUGAAUUUGGAUCAUGCCACACUCAAGUAACUAGAGGGAUCUCUAUUUGAGUGGGAGUUUAUUAGUAAUUUGAUUAGUUAAACUCUAAUUGUCUUGAACAUAGUCUAAGUCCACUUUGCAAUAUUUUAUGUUGUAGAUCAAUGGCUCACGCAGUAGCAACCCUGAAUUUCAAUACGUUCCUGGAGAAAGCUAAGCUGAAAGAUGAUGGUAGCAACUUUGUAGACUGGGCUCGUAAUCUUAGGAUCAUCCUACAAGCUGGGAAAAAGAAUUAUGUCCUUGAUGCUGCACUAGGAGAUGAACCACCCACUACGUCUGAUCAAGAUGUUUUGAACGCUUGGCAAUCACAUAAGGAGGACUACUCAGUAGUUCAAUGUGCAGUCUUGUAUGGCUUGGAACCGGGACUUCAACGAUGCUUUAAACGUCAUGGAGCAUAUGAGAUGUUCCAGGAGUUGAAGUUUAUCUUUCAGAAGAACGCCCGGAUCGAGAGGUAUGGGACCUCCGAUAAAUUCUAUGCUUGCAAAAUGGAGGAGAAUUCGUCUGUUAGUGAACAUGUGCUCAAAAUGUCUGGGUAUUCAAAUCAUCUAGCCGAGUUGGGGAUUGAACUCCCGCAAGAGGCUAUCAUUGACAGAAUUGUUCAAUCACUGCCACCUAGCUAUAAGAGCUUUGUGUUGAACUAUAAUAUGCAAGGGAUGAACAAGUCACCCCGCGAGUUAUUCACGAUGCUGAAAGUCGCAGAGUCAGAACUCCGGAAAGAACAUCAAGUGUCGAUGGUCAAUAAGACCACUGGUUUCAAGAGAAACAACAAAGGCAAGAAGGGUAACUCCAAGAAGAGCGGCAAAACAGUUGCCAAUCCGACGAAGAAACCCAAGGCUGGACCUAAGCCGGAAACAUGGUUCUAUUAUUGCAAGGGGAUGGGUCACUGGAAGCGCAACUGCCCCAAGUAUUUGGCUGAUAAGAAGUCGGCCAACGCCAAACCAGGUAUAUGUGAUAUACAUGUUAUUGAUGUGUACUUAACCAACUCUCGUAGUAGUGCCUGGGUAUUUGAUACCGGUUCUGUUGCUCAUAUUUGCAACUCAAAGCAGGAACUGCGGAAUAAACGAAGGUUGGCGAAGGAUGAAGUGACGAUGCGCGUGGGAAAUGGUUCCAAGGUUGAUGCAAUCGCCGUCGGCACAGUCUCACUUCAGUUACCAUCAAGAUUAGUUAUGAACUUAAAUAAUUGUUAUUUAGUGCCUGCGUUAAGGAUGAACAUUAUAUCUGGAUCUUUUUUAUUACGAGACGGAUACUCAUUUAAGUCAGAGAAUAAUGGUUGUUCUAUUUUUAUGAGUAAUAUCUUUUAUGGUCAUGCACCCAAUGUGAGGGGUUUGUUCAUAUUGAAUGUUGAUUGUGAGUUAACAAUGAUAGCGCCACCUUUUUGUGGCACUUCUGCUUAGGUCAUAUUGGUGUAAAGCGCAUGAAGAAACUCCAUGCUGAUGGGCUUUUGGAGUCACUUUAUUUUGAAUCACUUGACAUGUGCGAACCAUGCCUCAUGGGAAAGAUGACUAAGACCCCGUUCUCUGGAACAAUGGAACAUGCAAGUGACUUGUUGGAGAUCAUACAUAAUGAUGUGUGCGGUCCAAUGAGUGUGGAGGCGCGUGGCGGAUAUCGUUAUUUUCUCACCUUCACUGAUGAUUUGAGUAGGUAUGGAUAUAUCUACUUGAUGAAGCACAAGUCUGAAAUGUUUGAAAAGUUCAAGCAAUUUCAGAGUGAAGUGAAAAUCAUCGUAACAAGAAUAUCAAGUUCCUACGAUCUGAUCGAGGGGGUGAGUAUCUGAGUUUCGAGUUCGAUGCUCACUUAAGACAAUGUGGAAUCGUUUCACUGUUGACACUUCCUAGAACACCACAGUGUAAUGGUGUGUCCGAACGUCAUAAUCGUACUUUGUUAGAUAUGGUGCGAUCUAUGAUGUCUCUUACCGAUUUGCCAUUAUCGUUUUGGGGUUAUGCAUUAGAGACAGCUGCAUUCACUUUAAAUAGGGCACCAUCAAAAUCCGUUGAGAUGACACCAUAUGAGCUAUGGCAUGGCAAGAGGCCAAAGUUGUCGUUUCUUAAAGUUUGGGGAUGCGAUGCUUAUGUCAAAAAGCUUUAGCCUGAAAAGUUGGAACCCAAAGCGGAAACGUGUUUCUUCAUAGGUUACCCAAAAGAGACAGUUGCGUACACCUUCUAUCUCAGAUCCGAGGGCAAAGUGUUUGUUGCUAAGAAUGGAUCUUUUCUUGAGAAGGAGUUUCUCUCGAAAGAAUUGAGUGGGAGGAAGAUAUAACUUGAUGAGGUUGUGGAACCUUUGCUCCCUCUAGAUGGUGGCGUAGGGCAGAGAGAAAUCUCUGUCGAGGCAACACCGGUUGAGGAAGAAGCUAAUGAUGAUGAUCAUGAAGCUUUGGAUCAAGUUACUAUCGGACCUCGCAGGUCGACAAGAUCACGUACUGCUCCUGAGUGGUACAGGAAUCAUGUCUUAUCGAUCAUGUUGUUAGACAACAAUGAACCUGUGAAUUAUGAAGAAGCAAUGGUGGGCCCGGAUUCCAACGAAUGGCUGGAGGCCAUGAAGUCCGAGAUAGGAUCUAUGUAUGAAAACAAAGUAUGGACUUUGGAAGUAUUACCUGAAGGUCAUAAGGCUAUUCAGAACAAAUGGAUCUUUAAGAAGAAGACGAACGCGGACGGUAAUGUGACCGUUUAUAAAGCUCGACUUGUGGCAAAGGGUUUUUCACAAGUUCAAGGAGUUGACUACGAUGAGACGUUCUCACUGGUAGAAAUGCUUAAGUCCGUCCGAAUCAUGUUAGCAAUAGCUGCAUUUUUCGAUUAUGAAAUCUGGCAGAUGGAUGUCAAAACGGCGUUCCUUAAUGGUUUUCUUAAGGAAGAGUUGUAUAUGAUGCAACCCGAAGGUUUUGUCGAUCCAAAGAAUGCUAACAAAGUACGCAAGCUCCAGCGAUCCAUUUAUGGACUGGUGCAAGCAUCUCGGAGUUGGAAUAAGUGCUUUGAUGAGGUGAUGAAGUGUAAGGACUAAGAUGCGGUCCUUUUCGGUUUAGGGGAACGAGGCCCCAAAGAGGAAAGAAGCGCAUCUAAGCGUUUCGCAAACACGGUAACAUAGCACAUACAUAAUAAUAGAAUGACAAUUAGGGAUUCAACUGCCAUAUCAUAAAUAAUAUUAGAGUUUACAUCACGCAUCCAAGCAAGGUAGUUCCGCUAUGGACUACAAAACAUGAGAAAUGACUAUGUUACCCUGCAUGCUUGCCCACGAUCACGACCACGCCUCAGUCUUUUGGACAGUUCACGUACAGGCGGUCGUUCUCCUCAUCGUACUGCCACGCCAGCUACGUGUCGUCGGGAUCACCUGUCUCGGGGGUACCUGAACCUAUUGGUGCGUUGAAGUAAUAUGUGAGCCACGGGGACUCAACAAUCUAUGACCUCGGUGCUAGAACUAGUCAAGUUAAUAGGUAAGGAAGGUGGAGUAUUUAGGUUGCAACAUCCUAAGCAUAUAUGGUGGCUAACUUACGUAGAGCAAGUAUUGAAGAUGGUCUAUACUAGCAAUCGAUGAUUAGCUGAUCACUAAGUGAUCCUGAACACCUACUUAUGUCAAUCAUAACCCCACCGUGUUCCCGAUCGAAGAGAAGUCUUCGAAGGGGACAAUCACGGUUACACAAACAGUUGGCAAUUUUAUUAGCUUAUGUUUAAGUUAUCUAUAAGCGGAUGUUAACAAAUAUUCCAAGUUGCCACAUAACCGCGGGCACGACUUUCCGAAAUAUUAAACCCUGCAGGCGUGCUCCAACUAGUCCAUCACAAAUGGUCACGGGCCGCAAAGUAAUCCUCUAUCACGAAUCUCGUGAUCUCGUCGGAUUCCUUAGAGGAAAACCUCAACUCUGGGGAGAACCAAAGCUUCACCGGGAUUCCUAUACACAAGAUAUAUCGCUAAGGUAAGACAAGAUUAGCAGGACCUCCCGUCGUGUCGACGACCCCGAUAAGAGCCGCGUAUCUCAGUCUCAGGACACGACGGAUGAGCUACGCGCACGAUGGCCUGAUAGAAAUCACUCAAGUUGCCCUGAGUUGGCCCCGAACAGUGCUCAUUUUGGACCAACACUCAUGAGGAGCACUGGCCCGGGUUGUUGAUUAACUCCUCGGGGUGAUCAUUCCCUAUGCAGAUUAUUAUUAAGUGAUUAGCAAAUUAACACCAAUGUUGGGUCCCUCCGGACAAGUCUUAACACUACACGAUUUAUCAAGGGGGUCCCCAUAACAACCCCGAACGUGUUAGGAGCGAACAGUUAUGGAAUCAAACACUCGUAGCCGGAAACUAUGGCGGCAAUAACGGAACAAAACACCCGGAAAAAGGCUAAGCCUUCCGUUAUUUACCAAGUAUAUAGGUGCAUUAAUUAAAUAAUAGAUUAACAUAAUGAUAUCAACUGAUGUUAUCACAUGAGACAAAGCACCUGCAACUAGCAACGCUGACAUUAGUAGCUGAGCAAAGCCUACUUAGCCGUUCAAGAUUUGCUAGGAGGGGAAAGUGUUUGGUUUUCAUGGCAAUAUUCAGGAGGCAAUUAUUUCAGUGGUAGGCAGCGAGCAUAUGACAAGGAAACGUGAAUCUAGCAUAACAAGUCUAGAGAUGGAAUCAAGAUCAUAUCAUCUUGCGUGUGAUGUCCUCAGCUUGGAAUUGCUCUGGUUCGUCCUGCACGUACUCUCCCGGAUCCACGUACUCAUUCUCUGAUCCCGGUGCUACCCAACAUAAAAAUAACAUCCAAUGAAUAACAACACUUCAAGAUGCAACAAGCACAUGAUGCAUGAGAUGAAAAUGAACAUGCACCUCUAUUGUACUCACUUGAACAUGCUUGAGAAGGAGAUACAAGUUCCUGGACAAAACUGCACUCUAAGCUAUCUUGUCAUGUAUGAGGAUGACAUGAACAGAAGCGUCACGCGAAAAUGAUGCAAAAACAUAUAAAGAACGUUACGUUCGGAGCUACGGAUCAACCGGAAACAAUGAAACAAGAAAUAGAGUCCUACGUGUCAAAUUCGUCACCACACACUCCAAUGGCAUACUUCUGCUAUUCCCAGGUUGCCAUAUCACAAAACAAACAAGAAUGGAUGGGGUGGUGCAAAGAAUACCACCACACCAUCAACUAUGCACUCCCAAGCAUCAAACAUCAAAACUAUACAAUCUGCCAUAAGCAACAUCAUAGCAGUUUGAGAGCUACAUGCAAAGCACCUACAGCUGCCCAAAUAUGCCAAAUAGGAUAUGUGGCAGAAGCUAUCCAAGAGUACUAGAAGCAUGAGCAAAAAUCUAAUUCGAAGGAGUUUCAUACGGAAAGUUACACAGCUGCUAACUUGGCCAAAAAUAUUAGUUUCCAGGGACUUAGUGAAAAUCUCAGAUUCUCACUAGCUGUUUAUGCUCUGAAGCAUUUUGACAGCACCCAAAACAAUAUCUACAGGAUUCCAAAUGGAAUGAAAAUUGACAGAUAGCUAUACAAAUACAAAAUCUACAACUUCCCAGUUGAUAGCUAGGGCUGAUUCCCAACACAUGGUCUUCUACAAGCACAACAACAGGAGAAGAAAAUAUAAGCAGAUUCCCAGACUUAGUGAAAAUCUGUGAUUUUCACUAAACUGGAAUUUUUAGUCACAUGCCUACUUUGACUAGGCACAACUUGCACACAUGAACUCCUAAGCAUGAAACAAAACCAACAUGUGGUAGAAGGGUUCACCCUCUACCGCCACAACAAAGAAUCAACCUCUUGGGCUCAUCACAUCACAUGGAACCAAGCUCUAAACAUGGAACAAAACUGAAAUAUGACAUUCCCAGAAAGUGUUCCAAAGGCAAAACUUACUUCACCAAUGGAUUCAUGGGAUGAUUCUACCCCAAAAACAUAUAUAAUACAUAUGCACUUGCAUAGAAUAAUUGGGCACAAGGCUAAGAAGAAGAUAAGCAUGGAUUCACAAGGUGUGAAUAGUGCAUCAUCACAUGUGCUAUUCAGUAAAACAACACCUACAUAUCCACUUGCACACUAUCAACACUACAAUGGUGCACAUGAGGGUUAUCCCUCAUGCUCAUGUGCCUUAGCAAACCACCACACACACACACAAGCAUCAAGCACAACAUAAUAUAAACACCUACACAUGCUAAUGGGAACACCCACACUAGAUUACACCACAACAUCUAUACACCUUCACAUAUAAACAUGCUCAUGUGCUCAUCAAGGCACUCCAUGCCUUGAGCAUGUGUGGGACACACACACACCAUCUCACACAACAACACAAGAGCACCUACAUAUACACAAGGUAGGUGAGGGCGGAAACCCACACACACACUCACAUCACAUACUUGCACAAGAUAGGACAUAAGNNNNNNNNNNNNNNNNNNNNNNNNNNUGCAUAUCUAUAGCCUAGUGCAACACACAACUAAACACACCCACACAUACAUGUCAUCUAGCUCACAAUGCACAUACAUACAUAUCACUACACAUGCAUAUUUACAUAGCUAGAGAAAUACUAGGAACCUGCUAGAAUAAAUCCAGCAACCAAAACUUGCCUCACAAGCAUGCUGCAGUACAAUAUAGCAAGCAAACAAAACAAACAGGGAAGAAAUGCACAAAAAAAGGACAGGGGAGGGAUCGAACCCUAGAGCCCCUGAUCACCACCUGCACCUCAUACCACUGCGCUAUGGAACAGUCACUUGACAGAUAAGGAAAGCCUAGCAGGAUAAGGUGAUACACGCUGCUCUGUUACUGUGCCGAGAGAAAAAUAGCACAAAAAGGGGGGUUUGGCGCCGCGGGGAUUCGAUCCCACAACCACCUGAUCCACAACAAACACUGCACCACUAUGCCGCGCUACUAUACUUGACAGAGAGGAGGAACUCUCCAAGGUAAGACAUCGAAGCCGGCCUGCUCUGCUACUCACAGAGACGCCGACGGCAGCAAGCCACCGGAGCAAACCUACUUGCUCUACUGCUGCUCUACGCGCGGGGAUCCAUCUACACUACAACUACUACGCUGUUGGAGGCCCCGAGCCACGACGAGCCAAGCACAACAACACAAGAACGACACACCACCUGCACCUGCCCUCGUGCUCUUCUCUGAACAGAGAGGCACGACCUCGAUCUCCUACGCGCAACUACCGAGGAAGAAAAGAGGAAGAUACUAGCUCUCACCUAGGGGAAGGAGGAGAGGUUGCCGAUCGGGGAAGAGGCCUGCCUGGAGAAGAACGAAGACGACCUGAAGCGCCUGACGAAGAACUCUGCAGAACCAAAGCAGGGAGGAACAGGCCGCCGGGAACACGCCGUUGACGUGGUCCUGCCCGUCGCUGUGGUCGCGCUUUGACCUCAACAACAACGGGAAUGGAACGCGGGGCCUACCCCCGAGCCCCCUGACAUGAUGGCCGACACCGAAGGCGGCGGAUGCACGGGAUCGACGACGGCGCACUACUGCCCUCUAUGUGUACCUGGAUCUACAGGAGCUUACCUUGGGGAAGGAGGAGAAGGAUGGAGACGGCAGCGCUAGAUGGGGGAAGCAUGGAACCCUAGGGCAAGGGGGCACGAACGCCGAGGGUUAUAAGAGGGCCUCGACGUCUGUGAGCCCUCACGGCAUGCUCGCUCCCUCUCUGCUGCGUGACGGAAAGCGACGCACGGGGAGACGCCGUCUGAAGAAGGAGAAGGAACGCGUGCCUGGGCUGCCGCGGGGGGGGGGGAGAGAAGCUAGGCCUGCUAGUGGGAGGAGGCCCACUAGUUGGCGCCAGGUAGAAGGAAAUAAACCCAUGGGGUUUAUUAAUUAAGCCAAGACCAGACAAACAAAACAAAUGCACAUGCUAAACAGAUAAAGCUAAAAUUAAAUCAAAAAUACCCCUGGUCAUAAGAAAUUAUGACCUAUUUAAAUAAAAUAGAAAAGAAAUAUUUGGAGCAAUUAAAUAUUUACAAAACAACAUUUAUAUGAUAUGUUUUGGGAAUAUUUGCACCUUUAAAAUAUAGAUUCAAAACAACCAAUUCACAUCUUCACAUCCACCACAAAGUAUACUAAAUCAUGGACAUUUUUUAAAACAAGGAUGGGACAAGUGAAGCUUGACCUUGAGAUAAAUAAAGAGGAAGAUGGUUUUGAAGCCUAUGCAAACCACAUAGUUUCCUACUAGCAAUUGCACCACUCCAUUACUCACAUACACUAUCAUCACAUGACAUAUUCAACACACCACAUACCCACAUGGAUUCACAAAGGCACAAACACAAGACAUGGGUGAAUGAUAGAUGCAUGCAAGCAAAGGAAGAACAAAACAAUGUGACAUCACAUGAAAUCAUAUGCAUUGAGCUCUCAUAUCAAUGACAAGGUGGACCCACAUAGAGAAGGUUCCAGAUAUGGCAAGAUACACUCUUGGGGCAUUACAUGAAGGCAUUUGGGUUUAUACAAGUUAUUGGAGAAUCUUGUAUUUACAAGAGAGUGAGUGGGAGCUUUGUAGAGUUUCUUAUAUUAUAUGUGGAUGACAUAUUGCUGAUUGGAAAUAAUGUGGAGUUUUUAGAGAGCGUAAAGGAUUACUUGAACAAAUGUUUUUCAAUGAAAGACCUAGGAGAAGCUGCUUACAUAUUAGGCAUUAAUAUCUAUAGGGAUAGAUCGAGGUGCCUAAUAGGACUUUGACAAAGCACAUACCUUGAUAAAGUUUUGAAGAAGUUCAAAACGGAGCAGUCCAAGAAGGGGUUCUUGCCAGUGUUACAAGGUAUAAAGUUGAGUAAGACUCAGUGUCCGGUAACCGCGGAAGAUAGAGAAAAGAUGAGUAGCGUCCCCUAUGCUUCAACCAUCGGGUCUAUCUUGUAUGCAAUGUUAUGCACAAGACCGGACGUCAGCCUGGACAUAAGUAUGGCACGCAGGUUUCAAAGUAAUCCAGGAGUGGAUCACUGGACGACGGUCAAGAAUAUUCUGAAAUACCUGAAAAGGACUAAGGAAAUUUUUCUCGUUUAUGGAGGUGACGAAGAACUCGUCGUAAAGGGUUACGUCGAUGCAAGCUUUCACAUUGAUCCGGAUGACUCUAAGUCUCAAUCCGGAUACAUAUUUGUUCUUAAUGAGGGUGCGGUAAGCUGGUGCAGUUCCUAGCAAAGCGUCGUAGCAGAUUCUACAUGUCAAGUGGAGUACAUGGCUUCCUCGAAGGCAGCUAAGGAGGGUGUCUCGAUGAAGCAAUUCAUGACGGAUUUUGGAGUUGUGUCGAGUGCACUAAAUCCAAUAACUCUGUUCUGUGACAACACUGGUGCCAUUGCUCUAGCCAAGGAACCAAGGUUUCACAAGAAGACCACACACAUCAAAGGACGCUUGAUACGUCUCCAACGUAUCUAUAAUUUUUGAUGGUUCCAUGCUAUUAUAUUGUCUUCUUUGGAUGUUUUGCAUGCCUUUUAUAUAUUUUUUGGGACUAACUUAUUAACUCAGUGCCAAGUGGUAGUUCCUGUUUUUUCCAUGUUUUUGACCCUUUUUCAGACGGAGUCCAAAUGGAAUGAAACUUUACGAUGAUUUUUUUGGACCAAAAGAUACCCCCAAAGCUUUGGAAGAAGGCCAGAAGAGCCACGAGGGAGUCACAAGCCCAUGUUAUGCGGCCUACCCCCCUGGUCGCACCGUGCAGGCUUCUGACCUCCUUGUGGGCCCAACUGACUCAAUUCCACCGCCAUAAAUUCCUAUAAAUUCAGAAACCCCCAGAAAGAAACCUAGAUCGGGAGUUCCGCCGCCGCAAGCCUCUGUAGCCACCAAAAACCAAUCUGGAGCCCGUUCCGGCACCCUGCCGAAGGGGGAAUCCAUCUCCAGUGGCCAUCUUCAUCAUCCCGGCGAUCUCCAUGACGAGGAGGGAGUAGUUCUCCCUCGGGGCUGAGGGUAUGUACCAGUAGCUAUGUGUUUGAUCUCUCUCUCUCUCGUGUUCUUGAGAUGUCUUGAUCUCGAUGUACCGUGGGCUUUGCUACUAUAGUUGGAUCUUACGAUGUUCUUCCCCCUCUCCCUUCUUGUAAUGAAUCGAGUUUCCCCUUUGGAGUUAUCUUAUCGGUUUGAGUCUUUGAGAGCACUUGAUGUAUGUCUUGAACCUGUCUAUCUACUUUGAUCAACCUGCGGGUUUGUGACAAUUGGGAACCUAUGCAUAUGGUUGGCACACGUGGAUUCAUGUGAGUACUCGAUGUAUGUUUUGGUGAUCAACUUGUGGGUUCGUGACAUUGGGAACCUAUGCAUAGGGGUUGGCACACGUUUUGACUCUCCGGUAGAAACUUUGGGGCACUCUUUGAAGUUCUAUGUGUUGCUUGAAUAGAUGAUUCUGAGAUUGUGUGAUGCAUAUCGUAUAAUCAUGCACACGGAUACUUGAGGUGACAAUGGAGUAUUGAUACGUCCAUUUUGCAUCAUGCUUUCAUGUUGAUAUUUAUUGCUUUUUGGGCUGUUAUAUUACUUGUGGUACCAUAUUUAUGCCUUUUCUCUCUUAUUUUGCAAGGUUUAUUUGAAGAGGGAGAAUUCAGGCAGCUGGAAUUCUGGACUGGAAAAGGAGCAAAUCCUAGUCCACUAUUCUGCACAUCUCCAAAUGCCCUAAAAAGUUACGUGGAUUUUUUUGGGAUUAUAUAAAAAAUAUGGGGCGAAAGAACUACGGGAGGGGGGCUACCAGGGCGCCACAAGCCCUGACACCGCCACCCCCUGGUGGCGGAGUGGGGGCUUGCGGGUUCCCUGACGGCCCACUAGCCCCCCUCUUUUGCUAUAUGAAGCGUCCUGGUCCAGAAAAAAAUCAAUUAGGAGCUUUUUCGUGGUUUCGCCGCCGCCAUGAGGCGGAACUUGAGAAGAUCCAAUCUAGAGCUCCGGCAGGACGAUCCUGCCUGGGAAACUUCCCUCCCGGAGGGGGAAAUCGUCGCCAUUGUCAUCACCAACACUCCUCUAAUCGGAGGGGAUGCAUCUUCAUCAACAUCUUCAUCAGCACCAUCUCCUCUCCAAUCCCUAGUUCAUCUCUUGUAACCAAUCUUCGUCUCGCUACUCCGAUUGGUACUUGUAAGGUUUCUAGUAGUGUUGAUUACUCUUUGUAGUUGAUGCUAGUUGGAUUACUUGGUGGAAGAGUUUAUGUUCAGAUCCUUGAUGCUAUUCAUUACACCUCUGAUCAUGAUUAUGAUUAUGUUUUGUGAGUAGUUACUUUUGUUCCUGAGGACAUGGGAUAAGUCAUGUUAAUAAUAGUCAUGUGAAUUUGAUAUUCGUUCGGUAUUUUGAUAUGUUGUAUGUUGUCUUUUCCUCUAGUGGUGUUAUGUGAACGUCGAUUACAUAACACUUCACACCAUAUUUGGGCCUAGAGGAAAGCAUUAGGAAGUAGUAAGUAGAUGAUGGGUUGCUGGAGUGACAGAAGCUUAAACCCCAGUCUAUGCGUUGCUUCGUGAGGGGCUGAUUUGGAUCCACUAGUUUAAUGCUAUGGUUAGACUUUGUAUUAAUUAUUUUUUUGGAGUUGCAGAUGCUUGCGAGAGAGGUUAAUCAUAAGUGGGAUGCUUGUCCAAGUAAGGGCAGUACCCAAGCGCCGGUCCACCCACAUAUCAAACUAUCAAAGUAACGAACGCGAAUCAUAUGAACAUGAUGAAACUAGCAUGACAGAAAUUCCCGUGUGUCCUCGGGAGUCUUUUUCCUCCUAUAAGACUUUGUUCAGGCUUGUCCCUUGCUACAAAAGGGAUUGGGCCACUUGCUGCACCUUUGCUACUACUUGUUACUUGUUACUUUUUGCUCGCUACAUUUGACCUCACUACACCAUCACUUGUUACCGCUACUUUCAGUGCUUGCAAUUAUUACCUUGCUGAAAUCCGCUUAUCAGAGCCUUCUGCUCCUCGUUGGGUUCGACACUCUUACUUAUCGAAAGGACUACGAUUGAUCCCCUAUACUUGUGGGUCAUCGAGACUCUUUUCUGGCGCCGUUGCCGGGGAGUGAAGUGCCUUUGGUAAGUGGAAAUUGGUAAGGAAACAUUUUUAUAUUGUGCUGAAAUUUAUUGUCACUUGUCACUAUGGAAACUGUUCCUUUGAGGAGUUUGUUCGUGGUAUAUUCACCACGAACGGAAGCACGAGGAGUUUCUCCUCAACCUGAGGUACCUACUGAAAAUAUCUUUUAUGAAAUUCCUUCGGGUAUGCUUGAGAAACUGCUGGCUAAUCCUUUCACAGGAGAUGGAUCUUCACAUCCAGACUUGCAUCUGAUCUUUGUAGAUGAAGUUUGUGGUUUAUUUAAGCUUGCAGGUUUGCCCGAGGAUGUGGUAAAGAAGAAAGUCUUUCCUUUAUCUUUGAAGGAUAAGGCAUUGACAUGGUAUAUGCUAUGUGAUGAUACUGGAUCAUGGGGCUACAAUCGGUUGAAAUUGGAAUUUCAUCAAAAGUUCUAUCCUAUGCAUUUAGUACAUCGUGAUCGGAACUUUAUUUAUAACUUUUGGCCUCGUGACAGGGAAAGCAUAGCUCAAGCUUGGGGGAGGCUUAAAUCAAUGCUAUAUUCAUGCCCCAAUCAUGAGCUCUCGAGAGAAAUCAUCACUCAAAACUUUUAUGCUCGAUUUUCUCAUGAAGAUGUACCAUGCUUGACACUUCUUGUGCCGGUUCUUUUAUGAAGAAGGAUAUUGAUCACAAGUGGAAUUUAUUGGAGAGAAUCAAACGCAAUUCUGAAGAUUGGGAGCUGGAGGAAGGUAAGGAGUCAAGUAUGAAUUUCCAGUUUGAUUGCGUUAAAUCUUUUGUUGAGACAAACACUUCUAGAGAUUUUAGCACAAAGUAUGGACUUGAGUCUGAGAUAGUAGCUUCUCUAUGUGAAUAUUUUGCUGCUCAUGUUGAUCUUCCCAAAGAGAAGUGGUUUAAAUAUCAUCCUCCUGUAGAAAGCAACAUAGCUAAAACCAAUCUAGUUGAGGAGAAAGUCAUUGCUUUUAGUGAUCAUGUUGUUCCUUGUGCUUACACUGAGAAACCACCAUACCCUCCUAGGAUAAAGGAUUAUUCUAAAGCUCCGAUGAUACGUAGGGGUUACAUUAGACCACUUGCACCCCCUGAGGAGAUUAGAGUUGAACCUAGUGUUGCUAUUAUCAAAGAUCUCUUAGCCGAAGACAUAAAUGGGCAUGUUAUCAAAUUCUGCGAGGACUCUGCUAGAAUUGCUAAACCUCACGCGAAAGACAAACACGGACCUGUAGUUGGCCUGCCCGUUGUUUCUGUUAAGAUAGGAGAUCACUGUUACCAUGGUUUAUGUGAUAUGGGAGCUAGUGUUAGUGCAAUACCCCGUUCUAUAUAUGAUGAAAUCAAAGAUGAGAUUGCACCUGCUGAGUUAGAACCCAUUGAUGUUACUAUUACGCUAGCUAAUAGAGACACUAUCUGCCCUCUGGGAAUUGUGAGAGACGUAGAAGUCCUAUGUGGUAAGACGAAGUAUCCUACUGAUUUCCUCGUCCUUGGUACUGCACAAGAUAGCUUUUGUCCCAUCAUAUUUGGUAGACCCUUUCUCAACACUAUCAACGCUCACAUUGAUUGCAUUAAGCAGACUGUCACAGUUAGUUUCGAGGGUGUGUCUCAUGAAUUUAACUUCUCCAAGUUUGGAAGACAACCCCAUGAAAGAGAGUCGUCCGGUAGGGAUGAAAUCAUUGCUCUUGCCUCUAUUGCCGUACCUCCUACAGAUCCUUUAGAGCAAUAUCUGCUUGAGCAUGAAAAUGAUAUGCAUAUGGAGGAGAGAGAUGAGAUAGAUAAAAUUGUCUUAGAACAAUAUCCUAUUCUCAAGAAUAAUCUGCCUGUUGAACUGCUUGGGGAUCCUCCCCCACCAAAGGGUGAUCCUGUGUUCGAGCUUAAAUAGUUGCCUGAUACUCUUAAGUAUGCCUAUCUUGAUGAGAAGGAGAUAUAUCCUGUCAUUAUUAGUGCUCUCCUCUCAGAGCAUGAAGAGAAGAAGUUACUAAGAACUCUGAGGAAGCACCGCGCUGCUAUUGGAUAUACUCUUGAUGAUCUUAAGGGUAUUAGUCCUACUCUAUGUCAGCACAAGAUUAAAACCGAUCCUGACUUUAAACCAGUUGCUGAUCAUCAAAGGAGAUUAAAUCCUAAGAUGAAAGAGGUCGUUAGAAAAGAAAUAUUAAAGCUUCUGGAAGCAGGAAUCAUUUAUCCUGUUGCUCAUAGUGAUUGGGUAAGUCCAGUACAUUGCGUACCUAAGAAGGGAGGUAUCACCGUCGUUCCUAAUGAUAAGGAUGAACUAAUCCCACAAAGGAUUAUUACCAGCUAUAGAAUGGUGAUAGACUUCCGGAAACUGAACAAGGCAACCAGGGAAGAUCAUUAUCCUUUGUCGUUCAUCAACCAAAUGCUAGAAAGGCUAUCAAAGCACACACACUUCUGCUUUCUAGACGGUUAUUCAGGUUUCUCGCAAAUACCAGUUGCACAAUCUGAUCAAGAGAAAACCACUUUCACCUGCCCUUUCAGUACCUUUGCCUAUAGACGUAUGCCUUUUGGCUUAUGUAAUGCACCCGCCACCUUCCAAAGAUGUAUGAUGGCUAUAUUCUCUGACUUUUGUGAAAAGAUCGUCGAGGUUUUCAUGGAUGACUUCUCUGUUUAUGGGUCCUCCUUUGAUGAUUGCCUCAGCAACCUUGAUCGAGUCUUACAGAGAUGCGAAGAAACCAACCUCGUCUUGAAUUGGGAGAAGUGCCACUUUAUGGUUAAUGAAGGUAUCGUCUUAGGACACAAAAUUUCUGAGAGAGGCAUUGAAGUUGAUAAGGCUAAGGUUGAUGCAAUUGAGAAAAUGCCUUGCCCCACAGAUAUAAGAGGUAUACGAAGUUUCCUAGGUCAUGCUUGUUUCUAUAGAAGGUUCAUUAAAGACUUCUCUAAGAUUUCUAGGCCUCUUACCAACCUCUUGCAGAAGGAUGUUCCUUUUGUUUUUUAUGAGGAUUGUGAGGAAGCUUUCGAAAUACUUAAGAAGGCUUUGAUAACCGCACCUAUUGUUCAACCACCUGACUGGAACUUGACCUUGGAAAUCAUGUGUGACGCUAGUGAUUAUGCUGUUGGUACUGUUCUAGGACAAAGAGUUGAUAAGAAGUUGAAUGUCAUUCACUACCCUAGUAAAACUCUAGACAGUGCCCAAAGAAACUAUGCCACUACGGAGAAGGAAUUUUUAGCAGUCGUGUUUGCAUGCGAAAAGUUGAGAUCUUAUAUAGUUGACUCCAAAGUUACUAUUCACUCUGAUCAUGCUGCUAUUAAGUACCUUAUGGAGAAGAAGGACGCUAAGCCUAGGCUUAUCAGAUGGGUUCUCCUGCUACAGGAAUUUGAUUUGCACGUCGUUGACCGAAAGGGUGCUGAUAACCCUGUAGCAGAUAACUUGUCUAGGCUAGAGAAUGUCCUUGAUGACCCACUACCUAUUGAUGACAACUUUCUUGAUGAGCAAUUAAAUGUCAUCCGCACUUCACUUAGUGCAUCGUGGUAUGCCGAUUAUGCAAACUAUAUCGUAGCCAAAUACAUACCACCCAGUUUCACCUAUCAGCAAAAGCAGAAAUUCUUCUUUGAUUUGAGACACUACUUUUGGGAUGAUCAUCACCUUUAUAAGGAAGGAGUAGAUGGUGUUAUUAGACGUUGUGUGCCUGAACAUGAACAGGGACAAAUCCUGCAGAUGUGUCAUUUCGAAGCCUACGAAGGACACCAUGCUGGAGAUAGAACUGCCCAUAAGGUAUUGCAAACAGGUUUCUAUUGGCCCACUCUCUUCAAGGAUGCUCGUAGGUUUGUCUUGUCUUGUGACGAAUGCCAAAGAAUAGGGAACAUCAGUAAGCGUCGGGAAAUGCCUAUGAACUACUCACUUGUCAUUGAACCAUUUGAUGUCUGGGGCUUUGAUUAUAUGGGACCCUUCCCGAGUUCCAAUGGGUACACUCACAUCUUAGUUGCUGUGUAUUACGUUACUAAGUGGGUAGAAGCUAUCCCCACUAAAAAUGCUGAUCACCACACCUCUAUUAAGAUGCUUAAAGAAGUCAUUUUCCCAAGAUUUGGAGUCCCUAGGUACUUGAUGACUGAUGGCGGUUCACACUUCAUUCAUGGUGUUUUCCACAAGAUGAUAGCUAAGUAUGAUGUCAACCAUAGAGUUGCAUCUCCUUAUAAUCCUUAGUCUAGUGGUCAAGUUGAGUUGAGUAAUAGGGAGAUCAAGUUGAUCUUACAAAAGAUCGUCAACAGAUCUCGAAAGAACUGGUCUAGCAAACUCGACGAUGCACUAUGGGCUUAUAGGACUGCUUAUAAGAAUCCCAUGGGCAUGUCACCGUAUAAAAUGGUUUACGGUAAGGCCUGUCAUUUACCUCUUGAGCUGGAACACAAAGCUUAUUGGGCAAUCAAAGAGCUCAAGUUUGAUUUCAAACUUGCCGGUGAGAAGCGGUUGUUUGAUAUCAUCUCGUUAGAUGAAUGGAGAACCCAGGCAUAUGAGAAUGCCAAGUUGUUCAAGGAAAAGGUUAAGAGAUGGCACGACAAACGAAUACAGAAACGAGAGUUCAAUGUAGGUGAUUAUGUCUUGCUAUACAAUUCUCGUUUGAGAUUCUUUGCAGGCAAGCUUCUCUCUAAAUGGGAAGGUCCCUAUGUUAUCGAGGAAGUAUAUCGUUCCGGUGCCAUCAAAAUCGAUAACACGGAAGGAAAUUUUCCUAGAGUGGUAAAUGGGCAAAGAAUCAAGCAUUACAUCUCUGGUACUCCCAUAAAUGUUGAGACCAAUAUCAUCAAUGUCAUAACUCCAUAGGAGUACAUAAGGGAUGUUUAUCAGCAUGUUUCAGACCUUGAAAACGAAGAUGUAUCUGUUUUGGUAAGAAAUUGGACUCCGAUACUUUUCCAAUAGGAAAUUUCUUCCGUUUUGGAAUUUUUGGAAAAUUAGAAAAAUAAAAAGCAGUCUGUAGAGCGAACGAGGCGGGCACAAGCCCUGCCACCGCCCCUACCCCCUGGUGGCGGAGGGCAAGCUUGUGGGCACCUCAUGUGCCUCCCGGACUCCGUUUUCUUGCGGAGGACUCCUUCUGGCCCAGAAAAAAAUCAAUAUAUAGUCGCCCGAAGGUUUUGAUCUCCGUAUCGCGUAGUUUUCCUCUGUUUUCGUUUAAAGCUUGUUGUCUGCCGCAUAUUUAGAGCAAAGAUGUCUCAGGAAUCUGUUGGGGAGAAUGAUCUUCACCAAGUUCAUGAGGAAGUAGAUGCUGAUAUGAAAAGAGUAGAAGUCACGGAAUCUAGGGACCAAGCUACGGAGAAAACCCAAGCUAGGGAGGAAGUUCAACCUAUGUUCAACAUUGAAGACAUGGAAGGAGUAUAUUUUCUCCAACCCUUCCUCCACGUGCUGUCUCCAUCCUUGAUUGAACUCUUGAGGUUUUGCGAAACAACUCGUGCUCGCAAUAUUUCUCUUUCUCGUGAAGUUGUUUUGCUGGAAAACCAUGUCACAUAUCUCAAAGGUAUAAAUCAAAGAUUGAUAGCUCUCUUGGAAUCAAAGGCGAUAACUCCACCACCAUCACCACUAAAGGAAGACAACUAAGCAUUGGUAUGGGCAAUCCCCUUGGCUUCUGCCAAGCUUGGGGGAGUUGCCCUGGUAUCGUAUCACCUUUAUAUCUUUUGCUUUUACCUUUGUUUUAGUUCUUUCCUUUUCAGUUUUUAUUUCUUCUCUUAGAGGAAUAAGUCUUGUGUUUUUAGUUUGAGUCUUUUGCUUUUGUCUCUCUUCCGAUGUAUUUGAGCUCGCGAGCUAUAUAAUAAAGAGUAUCUUAGUCAAGGGCUUUGCUUUGUGCCUUGAUCAAAAGUAUGAAAAGAACGAUAGCAUGAAAGAUCAUGAGACGAUCUUAUGGAAAGUGAUAACUUCACUUGUGACACGUAUGAUGAUUGAAACUUGUUGAGAAUAAAUCAACAUAUACCUUAGUCAUUGUUGUAAUUAAUAAGAAGUAAUAACGAAAGAGAGGUUCACAUAUAAUAUAUCAUCUUAGACACUUUUUUACAAUUGUGAGCACUCACCAAACUAUUACAUGCUUAGGAGCAGAUGUUGGACAAGGAAGACAACAUAAUGAAUUGUGUUUGCUUGGUUCCAAACAAUGUUAUAUGAUUAGAGAUCCCUUAGCAUGUGACGAUUGCUUCCACCUUAUAUUAGCCAAAACUCCCGCACCAAGUAGAGAUACUACUUGUGCAUCCAUAAACCUCCAACCAGUUUUGCCAUGAGAGUCCACCAUGCCUACCUAUGGAUUGAAUAAGAUCCUUCAAGUAAGUUGUCAUCGGUGCAAGCAAUAAAAAUUGCUCUCUAAUAUGUAUGAUCUAUUAGUGUGUGGAAAAUAAGCUUUGUACGGACCUGUGAUGAGGAAGACAUAAAAGCAAUAGACUGCAUAAUAAAGUUCUUUAUCACAGGAGGCAAUAUAAAGUGACGUUCCUCCGCACUAAGAGGACACGCAUUCAAACCUCAAAAGCGCAUGACAACCUCUGCUUCCCUCUGCGAAGGGCCUAUCUUGUACCUUUACUUUUUGCCCUUGUAAGAGUCAUGGUGAUCAUCACCAAUUCCCUAUUUUUGCCUUUGUCUUGGCUACCGUCACAUGUUUGGGAAAGAUCUAUACUCAUAUAUCAACUUGGAGUUGAGUACUUAUGCUUUAUUGUUGUUGACUUUACCCUUGAGGUAAACCGUUGGGAGGCAAAACUAUAAGCCCCUAUCUUCCUCUGUGUCCAGCUGAAACUUUGACACCAUGAGUACCACGUGAGUUGUAACAAUUGUGGAAAACAAAAGAGAUGAUUGAGUAUGUGGGUUUGCCUUACAAGCUCUUAUUUGAUUCUUUCUGAUGUUGCGAUAAAUUGCAAUUGCUUCAAUGACUAUGGACUAUUGUUGGUGACUUCUCGGUAAGGUUUUUGCUUCAUGCUUUGCUUUGUGAAGGAAUUGUUACUUUCACAUAAGAAUCUUUAUGAUGUAUCGCUGUGUGAUCAUGAUGCCCUCAUGUCCGUAUUAUGUUUUAUCGACACCUUCGACCCUCAACAUGUCGACAUGUUUAGGGAACUUGGUUUUCGCUUGAGGACAAGUGAUGUCUAAGCUUGGGGGAGUUGAUACGUCCAUUUUGCAUCAUGCUUUCAUGUUGAUAUUUAUUGCUUUUUGGGCUGUUAUAUUACUUGUGGUACCAUAUUUAUGCCUUUUCUCUCUUAUUUUGCAAGGUUUAUUUGAAGAGGGAGAAUUCAGGCAGCUGGAAUUCUGGACUGGAAAAGGAGCAAAUCCUAGUCCACUAUUCUGCACAUCUCCAAAUGCCCUGAAAAGUUACGUGGAUUUUUUUGGGAUUAUAUAAAAAAUACUGGGCGAAAGAACUACGGGAGGGGGGCUGCCAGGGCGCCACAAGCCCUGACACCGCCACCCCCUGGUGGCGGAGUGGGGGCUUGUGGGCUCCCUGACGGCCCACUAGCCCCCCUCUUUUGCUAUAUGAAGCGUCCUGGUCCAUAAAAAAUCAAUCGGGAGCUUUUUCGUGGUUUCGCCGCCGCCACGAGGCGGAACUUGAGCAGAUCCAAUCUAGAGCUCCGGCAGGACGAUCCUGCUGGGGAAACUUCCCUCCCGGAGGGGGAAAUCAUCACCAUCGUCAUCACCAACACUCCUCUCGUCGGAGGGGAGGCAUCUUCAUCAACAUCUUCAUCAGCACCAUCUCCUCUCCAAUCCCUAGUUCAUCUCUUGUAACCAAUCUUCGUCUCGCUACUCCGAUUGGUACUUGUAAGGUUGCUAGUAGUGUUGAUUACUCUUUGUAGUUGAUGCUAGUUGGAUUACUUGGUGGAAGAGUUUACGUUCGGAUCCUUGAUGCUAUUCAUUACACCUUUGAUGAUGAUUAUGAUUAUGUUUUGUGAGUAGUUACUUUUGUUCCUGAGGACAUGGGAUAAGUCAUGUUAAUAAUAGUCAUGUGAAUUUGAUAUUCGUUCGGUAUUUUGAUAUGCUGUAUGUUGUCUUUUCCUCUAGUGGUGUUAUGUGAACGUCGACUACAUAACACUUCACCAUAUUUGGGCCUAGAGGAAAGCAUUAGGAAGUAGUAAGUAGAUGAUGGGUUGCUGGAGUGACAGAAGCCUAAACCCCAGUCUAUGCGUUGCUUCGUGAGGGGCUGAUUUGGAUCCACUAGUUUAAUGCUAUGGUUAGACUUUGUCUUAAUUCUUCUUUUGUAGUUGCAGAUGCUUGCGAGAGAGGUUAAUCAUAAGUGGGAUGCUUGUACAAGUAAGGGCAGUACCCAAGCGCCGGUCCACCCACAUAUCAAACUAUCAAAGUAACGAACGCGAAUCAUAUGAACAUGAUGAAACUAGCAUGACAGAAAUUCCCGUGUGUCCUCGGGAGCGUUUUUCCUCCUAUAAGACUUUGUUCAGGCUUGUCCCUUGCUACAAAAGGGAUUGGGCCACUUGCUGCACCGUUGCUACUACUUCUUACUUGAUACUUUUUGCUCGCUACGUUUCACCUCACUACACCAUCAGUUGUUACCUCUACUUUCAGUGCUUGCAGUUAUUACCUUGACGAAAUCCGCUUAUCAGAGCCUUUUACUCCUCGUUGGGUUCGACACUCUUACUUAUCGAAAGGACUAUGAUUGAUCCCCUAUAUUUGUGGGUCAUCAAGUAUCUAGGUGACAUUAGGGUCUUGGUUGAUAUGUAUCUUAAGGUGUUAUUCUAGUACGAACUCUUGAAUAGAUCGAUCAGAAAGAAUAACUUUGUGGUGGUUUCGUACCCGACAAUAAUCUCUUCGUUUGUUCUCUGCUAUUAGUGACUUUGGAGUGACUCUUUGUUGCAUGUUGAGGGCUAGUUAUAUGAUCCAAUUAUGUUAUCAUUGUUGAGAGAACUUCACUAGUGAAAGUAUGAACCCUAGGCCUUGUUUCCACGCAUUGCAAUACCAUUCGUGCUCACUUUUUUUACUAGUUACCUUGCUGUUUUUGUAAUUUCAGAUUACAAAAACCUAUAUCUACCAUCCAUAUUGCACUUGUUUCACCAUCUCUUCGCCGAACUAGUGCACCUAUAAAACUUACCAUUGUAUUGGGUGUGUUGGGGACACAAGAGAGUCUUUGUUGUUUGGUUGCAGGGUUGCUUGAGAGAGACCAUAUUCAUCCUACGGCUCCCGCGGAUUGAUAAACCUUAGGUCACCCACUUGAGGGAAAAUUGCUACUGUUCUACAAACCUCUACACUUGGAGGCCCAACAACGUCUACAAGGAGAAGGUUGCGUAGUAGACAUCAAGCAUUUUUCUGGCGCCGUUGUCGGGGAGGCUAGGUAAGAGGCACUAACAUCCCGUCAACGAAGCAUUUUCGGGGAGGUUAGCGCUUGAAGGUAUAUCUUUAGAUCUUGCAAUCGAAUCUUUUUGUUUCUUGUUCUUUAGCUAGAAAACUACCAAAAAAUGGAAUUGAGGAUGCCUCAUAUGCUCCAUCUUUUUAAUGUCUUUCGUGAGCAUGAUGGGAAGGAAAAUUGUGCUCAAGUGCUGAAAUAAGAAUUACAUAGAAUGCUUGGCAUAGAAUAUGUGAAUGAUGAGCAUGAUUGCAAUGUUGUUAGCACAAAUUCUUUGAAUACCCAUGAUGCUAAUGAUAUGCAAAGCCACAAGCUUGGGGAUGCUAUAUUUGAGGAAGAUGAUCUUUUUAGUUCUUCCACUUUGAAUGAUCAAAAUCAUUUUGAUGAAAGCAUGCCCCCUAUCUAUGAUGAUUAUUGUGAGGAUACUUAUGCUUUGAAGAAGAGGGAUGAUAAAUAUUGUCAUACUUUCGAAAACCCCUUUGCUAAACCUUGCUUUUUCGUUGUGGACACAAUUUGUAGUGCUCAAGUCUUUUACGAUACUCCCACUACUAUUCUUGAGAAUAGAUUUCNNNNNNNNNNNNNNNNNNNNNNNNNNNNNNNNNNNNNNNNNNNNNNNNNNNNNNNNNNNNNNNNNNNNNNNNNNNNNNNNNNNNNNNNNNNNNNNNNNNNGCUAUCUUGCUUAAGGGUUAGGGAUGUGACAACUUUGGAGUUGGAGGGCUUCUUCAUCAUCAUCAUCGUCCCUCCAAUGACUCGUGAGUAGUUCACUUCAGACCUACGGGUCCGUAGUUAGUAGCUAGAUGUCUUCUUCUCUCUCUUGGAUCUUCAAUAGAAAGUUCUCCAUGAUCUUCAUGGAGAUCUAUCCGAUGUAAUCUUCUUUGGCUGUGUGUUUGUCGAGAUCCGAUGAAUUGUGGAUUUGUGAUCAGAUUAUCUAUGAUAUAUAUUUGAGUCUUUGCUGAUUUCUUAUAUGCAUGAUUUGAUAUCCUUGUAAGUCUCUCUGAGUCUUGGGUUUUGUUUGGCCAACUAGAUCUAUGAUUCUUGCAAUGGGAGAAGUGCUUGGUUUUGGGUUCUACCAUGUGGUGACCUUUCCCAGUGACAGUAGGGGCAGCAAGGCACACAUCAAGUAGUUGCCAUCAAAGGUAAAAAGAUGGCGGAUUUAUCAUUGGUUUGAGAUUAUCCCUCUACAUCAUGUCAUCUUGCUUAAGGCGUUACUCUGUUCUUAUGGACUUAAUACACUAGAUGCAUGAUGGAUAGCGGUCGACGUGUGGAGUAAUAGUAGUAGAUGCAGAAAGUAUCGGUCUACUUGUUUCGGACGUGAUGCCAAUAGAAACAAUCAUUGCAUAGAUAUCGUCACGACUUUGCGCGGUUCUAUCAAUUGCUCGACAGUAAUUUGUUCACCCACCGUCUACUUGCUUUCAUGAGANNNNNNNNNNNNNNNNNNNNNNNNNNNNNNNNNNNNNNNNNNNNNNNNNNNNNNNNNNNNNNNNNNNNNNNNNNNNNNNNNNNNNNNNNNNNNNNNNNNNGACUAGGUAUUCGAACCCCAUACAUAUCAAGUAUGACACACGUACGCAUGGCAUACCGAUAUGUAUAGAUUCAUCGAUGGCAUCACAACAUAACCAUAAACAUACAACCUUUAUUCAAGAGGCUCGGAAGAGCCACACACAUAAUAUUACACAUUAAGGUCUCUCGACCCAUAAUAGCAGUCAUACAAAUACAAGCCAGCGGAAGAGUUAUAGACUGUCUGGGUACAGACAAUGCAACUAGAAGGCACAUGGCCUGACUAUACUACAGAGCCGACAUAGGGCCAGAUCGUAGCUGGGACACCAGCUACUCGUCGUCGUCGAUGUCUACGAAGAACCCUCCAUUAGGGUCAUUAGCAACCUCUGCAACAUUUAUUAAGCAAACAUGAGUACGAAGGUACUCAGCAAGACUUUAGGAGAACUAACUACUCAUGCAAGGUAUCAAAAGGUAUUGUGGGGUUUCAUGCGGGAAGCCAGCAUUUGACUCGUGGCUAGACAACUUGCAUUUUGAAAUUAGUUUUGACAACUUGAUUUCUCGCACACGAGUCCACUAACACCACAGCAAUACACUAUCGUGGAAUCAUUCCGUCUCCAUACGGAAAUGCCGUCCACGACACUCACGCUUAUCUUGCCCAUUUUAUGAGUAGCCAUUGAAGUUAUCUAUGAACAACAUAUGUCUCCAAGUAGUCCAUAUCCGCGGACGCGGCUAUUCGAAUAGAUCAUAACCCUGCAGGGGUGUACUUCGUCACACACGCUCUCGCCACUUAUCGCUAUGUGCACGUCAUGCACCUCGGCAACCUUCAAGCGGAAGCCCAGCGAGGGAGUCGGCCACGACCGUUAACCACACCAGUACCUAGUCCAGGUUUAUCGCCUAUCUGAGAGUAACCCGUACGAAAGUCCGGCCGGGGAUUCCGCCACGGCCUCAAACGAUGUGCGCAGGGUUCCCAAGCCCACCAUCCAGGUGCCACUUGGUACACCGUGCCACUGCCUACCGCAUCACGGCCCACCUCUCAGGUCAGCACCAUGCACGGCCUCCAGCAUUACUAUAAACACCAGAAACUACUUGCAACUCCUGGACCGAGUACUACGCGAUUAAUAGGCCGAGCGGGGUCAUAUUUCAGGGCCCAGCAUGUGGUAGUAUCUAGUCUUGGAUUACAUACACGGAACUCAGUUCCUAAGGACGGUUCCAAUGAAACAACCCGCCAUGUACUCCUACACAGCCUUUCACCGGCACCUUUACCAAAUCAAGUUCAACACACAACCUUUGCUCACCGAAAACAUUCCACAUUUCUGUUCAUCUCCCAGAUGACAGACCAUACACAACUCUAAGCAUAUCAUGCAUAGCAGGAUAAGGCACAUCAUAGCUCAAGCAACUACCAGGUAUGCUAGGUUGCAAGGUUCGGCUAUUUACUGUGACAAGGUUAGGUCAUGCAAAGGAAGUGGGUUCAACUAUCGUGGCAAAAGCAGUUGUAGCAUUUGAUCCUAAUGCAAUAAAUAAAUGCAGGAGCAAGAACAUGGGAAUUAUCGGGAUGAUCAAAAGGGUUGCUUGCCUUGUUGCUCAGAGGAGGAACGAUAUCCGUCAGACGGAUAUUCGGUGGAAUCCGGGGGUGCGGAGCCUACCGAAAUGAAUGGCAACAUUCAAUAACAAUCAUAUGCACUCAAAAUGAUGCAUGCGCAUGGCAUGAGAAUGCAGGGUGAUAAGUUAUUAGUUUCAACAUGUAAUAGGUUUAGAGUUGAUUUGAAUCACAUUCGAAUAGCAAUUCAAACGGGGUAUUCUCGGAUACCGGUUUAAUUGAUUCGACCUGAUGCUCAGAUCAACUUGAUGUUAACAUGCAUGAAAUGUCAUGUUAUGGUACUGAUUUGUAAUUAGGGCAGUGUGUGAUCAUUGCAUAUAUAAUGAAAUUUGAAUNNNNNNNNNNNNNNNNNNNNNNNNNNNNNNNNNNNNNNNNNNNNNNNNNNNNNNNNNNNNNNNNNNNNNNNNNNNNNNNNNNNNNNNNNNNNNNNNNNNNUGAGUACCUUCGUACUCAUGUUUGCUUAAUAAAUGUUGCAGAGGUUGCUAAUGACCCUAAUGGAGGGUUCUUCGUAGACAUCGACGACGACGAGUAGCUGGUGUCCCAGCUACGAUCUGGCCCUAAGUCGGCUCUGUAGUAUAGUCACGCCAUGUGCCUUCUAGUUGCAAUGUCUGUACCCAGACAGUCUAUAACUCUUCCGCUGGCUUGUAUUUGUAUGACUGCUAUUAUGGGUCGAGAGACCUUAAUGUGUAAUAUUAUGUGUGUGGCUCUUCCGAGCCUCUUGAAUAAAGGUUGUAUGUUUAUGGUUAUGUUGUGAUGCCAUCGAUGAAUCUAUACAUAUCGGUAUGCCAUGCGUACGUGUGUCAUACUUGAUAUGUAUGGGGUUCGAAUACCUAGUCGUGAACUUUAGUAGCACUCCUUACAAGGAAAUGCCCCUUUGUGAUCCAACGAGCCUUGGUAGUCCGCUACUGCUCCGGACACAUUGGUUGACCGGCAUGUGUCCUUCUUAGCUGUUGUGUCCGUCCUCUUUGGGGAAAUGUCACGCGACGUAAUGGAGUCCUUGUAGCUUGCUACGACUCGUCUACGUUCGCUGAUGACCGACACCUGCUUUGUUGGGUCAUGUAUGCCCGUCCUUGUGCGGAACUGCCACUUUGAUUUAUGACUAGACAUGUCGAUGCGGGUUCUUUGACAUUGGAUUGCUAGCGACACCUAUCGCAUACGUGAGUCAAAAGACGCAAACGGUCCCGGCUAAGGUAAAGCUGCAGCCGUGGAGUUAACCGUGCGUGAGACCACAAAGAGAUGCGAUGUGUUACAGGCUGGAUUCCUAUGGCUUAGGAUCGGGGUCCCGACAGCGUUGGUAUCAGAGCCUGACUGACUGUAGGAUUACUAAGCCAAACUGGUCAAAGUUGAGUCUAGAAUUGCUUUAGUUAUAUAUAAGGGAAUUGUUUGUGGAAGGGAACGUAAGACUCUUGUUCUCUUCUCAAGUUAUUCUAUUCUGGUCAUCCUCGUCUCUUCUGCGGGAAUUAAGGACUAGGUUACUCAUCUUCUCCUAGGCUCGUGUUUCCAAUCGGUAGCUUAUAGGACUACGGGUCGAGAGAUAUUGGGUUUCUUUUAUUCCUAGGAAGCAGGAAGUAAGUUUGGUGACCAGAGAGUUGAACUUGAUAGUUGAGUGGUUACGCUAUUCCAUUUUGGGUUGUCUCAAAUUUGUUUUGAGCAUUUACAGCCGUUAUGCUGCCCAAUUUUGCAUUCAGAGCUCUAAUGCUUUUGCAUUACUCUCUAUUUACAGAUGUCUGGCCGUCCUUCCCGUCAGGUGGUACGUCUGACCAGGUGCAUUGAUGUACCGGGUCAUACGGCCAUGCUGGUCAGGGUGAUGUCGGUGUGCGGUUACCGCUGGUACCCCGAGUACACAGUGGAGGAACAGUACCGGGACUUCAACCAGAGCCAGUACAUCUGCACUGUUAGGGUAUUCCUAGACUACCCUGGAGCGGAGAAGCCAAUCCAUUGGUCCUAUGGGUUGGGGGUCACCGUUGACAUGGGAGUACAAGAUGCUGCCUAUUCAAUGCUGACUAUUAUGAGAGCGAGACAUGCACUGCUGCAGAAUUCAGAGUUCUGCUAUGUUCCGGCCUCUCAGUCUGGUGAAGAGGGAUACCUCAGUGGACUCUAUUUUGAUUCUUCUAUGGAGGAUCCACUUCUGCAGACCACUGUUGAGAUGCUAGAGAACAGAGACAACGAUGCUCGUGCUCUCCGCAUGGAGCUUUAUGCUACUCGUGCCCGUCUGUGGACAGCUUUGACGCAGCUAGCACCGGUAGUCCAGACAGGGUAUGGAGAGAUGGAGAUGCUGAACCCUGUUAGGACCCAUCUUCCGGCUCACGUUGACUGGCCAGCUAUAGGAGGAGUCACACCUCUUCGGAGACCCCUCUUACCACCAGUCAGGGGACCAAGGCCACAUCCGUGUCCUUAUGGAUCCCAGGGGUCUCAGGCUAGAGUGUUUCCUGAUCCGCAGGUUGAGCUUCCAGGUCAUGGAGGUAAUCUCUAUGAGAUGUUCUAUGCGGAUGCCUGAGCUGUGAGCGGAAGGAUAGUAUGGUAGUAGUCGUACGUUCAAAGUCCUGCGUGACUUGUGAAGUAUGGUAGUAAUGUGAAAUGAAUUCCAGAGGCCUAGAUAAAUAAUGUAUAGGAAGCUUGUAAGCCUCUGAUGAGUAGUUCCACCAUUUCAGUAGUUUGCUCUUCGGGUAAGUUUGUACUGAACUAUGUAAGGGUGUGUAUGAACCAUGGUGUAUAUAUAGCAGUUGCUUGUUACCAUGUUGUUCGGAUAUUCAUUUCCGCAUUCCGUGUGUUCAGUACAUUCUUAAUCCAUAGCUAGUAUUGAUAUGAUAUUGGUCUAAGCUAUGAGUUUGUUUGUCAGGAUGGUGUUCACCAGGUUGAACCGUGCCCCUGCUCAUGAGCAAGGUGAGGGUAGUCAAGCGUCGCAGGAAGACCUGCCUCACCCACCUUCUCUGGUAGAAGUGAUGCUUGAGGCAGAAAGAAACAAAAGGGAGACCAACCGACUGCUAGAGCGUAUUGAGCAGAAUACGGNNNNNNNNNNNNNNNNNNNNNNNNNNNNNNNNNNNNNNNNNNNNNNNNNNNNNNNNNNNNNNNNNNNNNNNNNNNNNNNNNNNNNNNNNNNNNNNNNNNNUGCCCCAACGGCUCCCCCACGCGGCGCGCCCCGUGGGCAUCGUCGUACUGCUCCAGCUGUGGAGCCGCCCGCACCGGCCUCCCCCGCAACGGGGGAAUCGCCGAUCCCGGAGGCUUCUCCGCUAGUUGCCCCGGGCGUCUCGGCCCCGUCUCCUGCACCACCGGGCCCCGCUCCUGUCGGCACGACGCCUCCACCACCUGCUGCCCCCGUGCCCAGUACGGGGCCGGCCUCUCCCUCAACUGCCCCACCUGCUGCCCCCGUACACUUCGGAGUGCUUACCCGUGCGCGCGCGGGUGUCCAUCGACCCAGCCAGAGGUACUCCUCCAACGAGUACGUCUGCACUGCCACCACGACGGCUCCUUCGCCGCUCCCUGCGUCCGUCCACUCGGCGCUCCGGGACCCUCACUGGCGCGCCGUCAUGCAAGACGAGUACGACGCGCUACUGAGGAAUCGCACCUGGCAGCUGGGUCGUUCGCGGCUUCCGGCAACGGGCUGGUCUCGACUUGUGACAGCCCAAGUGCAAUCUCCCCUCCCCUUUUGUAUCCUCCUUGUAUGGCAACCUUGGCAUGUUGGUGUGAUGUGGGGUGAGCCUAACUUUGUGUCAUCAUUUCAUGUGCAUCAUGCCUUCUUGCAUUGCAUUCUUUCCCUUUUGUUGUGGUUGUGUUGAUGUGGGUGUCCUUGUUGUGAUGUGCAAGUGUUGUGUUGAUGUCCUUAGUGAUUGUUUAGGUGUGGGGGCAACAAGUGCAUGUCAAAACCCACAUGUUGCUCCAUAAGGAGAAAACCCUUCUCUCUCUAUGUUAAUUUGUGGCAGGUUUAAAAGGCUUUGUUUCUCCAUUUAAAAAAAUGUUCAUCUUUCCCUAAAAAAAAUCCUUUUCAUUUUGUGGAGGCAACCCCUCUGGUUUCUACUUUACUUUCCUUCUUAUCUUAUUUAAAAAAUCAAAGCCCAUUUAAAUUAGAUGAAUAUAAUUUUGGACUUCUAAAAAUGUUCCACUUAUUUUUAUAAACAGUGGCAACANNNNNNNNNNNNNNNNNNNNNNNNNNNNNNNNNNNNNNNNNNNNNNNNNNNNNNNNNNNNNNNNNNNNNNNNNNNNNNNNNNNNNNNNNNNNNNNNNNNNGGGGUUGUCAAUCCCUUAUAGAUUGUUUGCCAAGUGAGAACUGAAAGCAACAAAGUAACAAAUCAAAGUAAAAGCGGAGGUGUAAACGAUGGAUGUGAAUAGACCCGGGGGCCGUAGUGUUUACUAGUGGCUUCUCUCAUGAAAGCAAGUAGACGGUGGGUGAACAAAUUACUGUCGAGCAAUUGAUAGAACCGCGCAAAGUCGUGACGAUAUCUAUGCAAUGAUUGUUUCUAUUGGCAUCACGUCCGAAACAAGUAGACCGAUACUUUCUGCAUCUACUACUAUUACUCCACACGUCGACCGCUAUCCAACAUGCAUCUAGUGUAUUAAGUCCAUAAGAACAGAGUAACGCCUUAAGCAAGAUGACAUGAUGUAGAGGGAUAAUCUCAAACCAAUGAUAAAUCCGCCAUCUUUUUACCUUUGAUGGCAACUACUUGAUGUGUGCCUUGCUGCCCCUACUGUCACUGGGAAAGGUCACCACAUGGUAGAACCCAAAACCANNNNNNNNNNNNNNNNNNNNNNNNNNNNNNNNNNNNNNNNNNNNNNNNNNNNNNNNNNNNNNNNNNNNNNNNNNNNNNNNNNNNNNNNNNNNNNNNNNNNUCACGAGUCAUUGGAGGGACGAUGAUGAUGAUGAAGAAGCCCUCCAACUCCAAAGUUGUCACAUCCCUAACCCUUAAGCAAGAUAGCAUUGUGCUCAUGUCUUCUUUGCAUUUGCAUCUAAGAAGUUUCAACAAAAACAACAAAGUGGCAAAGGAAAAACUCAAAACCCUAGCCACCAUUUCAAAUUAAAGGAAAUCUCAAACUAGUUCAAAAUCAAUGAACCCAAAAUGGCCUCAAGAAAUGUUCAAACUUUCUGAUAAAUCAUGAAAGUAAAUGAGCAUUGGAGAAAACUAUUUUCUUGACACUUUAAGCUUUUUAAAUUAAUGCAAAAGCCACUGGUUUCAAAUUUAAAAUUUGAAAUCAGAAACUAUAAUUUUCCAAAAAUGUUGAAAACCUUGGAAAUGGUUGGGGAUAUUAUAACAAAUAUUUCAGGAGGUCUAAAAUAGUUUUUACUUUUUGUUUUGGAGCUGAAUUAAUUAGCAAAACAAUAAUUAGCAAAACAGAAAAACAAAAACAGAAAAAUAAGGAAAAACCUUACCUGUCGCCUAAGCCUGGCCCGGCCCAUCCCUGGCUCGUCCCCUCCCUCGCACCAGUAGGCAGCAGGAGGUGGUCGCCGCCCCCUCCGGCGCGGCCACGCACCUGCGUGCCUGCCUGGCCGCCGCCUCGCGCUGGCGACGACGGGGAUAAGCUCCCCAGAGCCUCCCCUAUCCAUUCCCCGCCUCGGUUCUCUUCCUCCACCCGGAUCUCUUCCUCCUCCCCGCUGCCGCCAUUGGAGCCGAGCUCGAGCUCGAGCUGCCCGUGCCCCUAGCCUUAGGAUCCCCUCCCAGAGCAUGCCAUUAGCGCCGCCUCGUCGCCCUGGUCAUCUCUACAGAAGCCGAAGCUUCCUCGAGCCCUGCAACGCCCGCAACGCCGUCGUCUUCCACCUCCGGCCGCCGGACCUCUCCCGUCGAUUCGCUUCCUCCGGCGCAUCCCCGAGCCCCUCUUCAGCACCAUCGGAACGGCCGUGAGCUCGUCGUCGUUUCCCCUCUCGCCCCACGCUCUCCCGUGCAUCGUAUCCUAGUUCCCCACCAAGGCCGAGAGCUUCUCGCCGCCGGCCAUGUCGCUGUCGUCGUUGUGAUGACUGAUCCACGCGCCCGAGCUAGGAUUCGAGCUCCUGGAGCCUCCAGGAGCGUGCCGAGCCCUCCAGCUGCCCUCCCCGUGCCCUAGAACCGCCCCUCAUAGAAGGCCGAGCUUCGGCCGCCGCUCCGGCUCAUCGCCGACGCCUCUUCCGGCGACCCUAGCCUCCCCAGAUGGUCCUGCCAGAUCGGCCACUUCGCGAGCAUGCUGUAGCUGCAAACCGCGUGCGUUUUGGUGUUGUGCAGCGCCGUCUAGGUCGCCUCCGGCGAGCCCUCCGCCGCGGGCCUGGUCGCCGGCGACCACCCUCCGGUGGGGGUCGACGUGGCAAGCUAACCCAGCAGCUUAGGGACCUAAUCACUCGCUGACAAGUGGGCCCAAGGCCAAGUCAAACCUCAGUUAGGGCUGGUCAGCGUGGGAUUAGUCCCAGAGAGGCUGUCCAGUGGGGCCCCCCUGUCAGGUUUGACCUGAACAAGUCGGCUGACCUGCUGAUGUGAGCCUGAGGCAAUAAAUAGAAUUUCCAGUAUAAAACUAAUUCAGGAAAUUGCUAAAAUNNNNNNNNNNCGGGAUUAGUCCCAGAGAGGCUGUCCAGUGGGGCCCCCUGUCAGGUUUGACCUGAACAGGUCGGCUGACCUGUUGAUGUCAGCCUGAGGUAAUAAAUAGAAUUUCCAGUAUAAAACUAAUUCAGGAAAUUGCUAAAAUUUGUAAAAAUCAUAGAAAUUAAUCUGUAACUCCAAUGAAAAUAAUUUAUAUAUCAAAAAGUAUCAGAAAAAUUCAAGGAUUCUGAUUAUGCUAUUUUCAACCAUGUUUAAAAAAGUUACAGAACCCUAAAUUGUGGAAUAAGGAAUAAUUCAAUUCUUUUAAUCACUUUAUAAAUGGAAUUUGCAAAAAAAUUCAAAUUUCAUUAUAUAUGCAAUGAUCACACACUGCCCUAAUUACAAAUCAGUACCAUAACAUGACAUUUCAUGCAUGUUAACAUCAAGUUGAUCUGAGCAUCAGGUCGAAUCAAUUAAACCGGUAUCCGAGAAUACCCCGUUUGAAUUGCUAUUCGAAUGUGAUUCAAAUCAACUCUAAACCUAUUACAUGUUGAAACUAAUAACUUAUCACCCUGCAUUCUCAUGCCAUGCGCAUGCAUCAUUUUGAGUGCAUAUGAUUGUUAUUGAAUGUUGCCAUUCAUUUCGGUAGGCUCCGCACCCCCGGAUUCCACCGAAUAUCCGUCUGACGGAUAUCGUUCCUCCUCUGAGCAACAAGGCAAGCAACCCUUUUGAUCAUCCCGAUAAUUCCCAUGUUCUUGCUCCUGCAUUUAUUUAUUGCAUUAGGAUCAAAUGCUACAACUGCUUUUGCCACGAUAGUUGAACCCACUUCCUUUGCAUGACNNNNNNNNNNNNNNNNNNNNNNNNNNNNNNNNNNNNNNNNNNNNNNNNNNNNNNNNNNNNNNNNNNNNNNNNNNNNNNNNNNNNNNNNNNNNNNNNNNNNAGACACAACAGCUAAGAAGGACACAUGCCAGUCAACCAAUGUGUCCGGAGCAGUAGCGGACUACCAAGGCUCGUUGGAUCACAAAGGGGCAUUUCCUUGUAAGGAGUGCUACUAAAGUUCACGACUAGGUAUUCGAACCCCAUACAUAUCAAGUAUGACACACGUACGCAUGGCAUACCGAUAUGUAUAGAUACAUCGAUGGCAUCACAACAUAACCAUAAACAUACAACCUUUAUUCAAGAGGCUCGGAAGAGCCACACACAUAAUAUUACACAUUAAGGUCUCUCGACCCAUAAUAGCAGUCAUACAAAUACAAGCCAGCGGAAGAGUUAUAGACUGUCUGGGUACAGACAGUGCAACUAGAAGGCACAUGGCGUGACUAUACUACAGAGCCGACGUAGGGCCAGAUCGUAGCUGGGACACCAGCUACUCGUCGUCGUCGAUGUCUACGAAGAACCCUCCAUUAGGGUCAUUAGCAACCUCUGCAACAUUUAUUAAGCAAACAUGAGUACGAAGGUACUCAUCAAGACUUUAGGAGAACUAACUACUCAUGCAAGGUAUCAAAAGGUAUUGUGGGGUUUCAUGCGGGAAGCCAGCAUUUGACUCGUGGCUNNNNNNNNNNNNNNNNNNNNNNNNNNNNNNNNNNNNNNNNNNNNNNNNNNNNNNNNNNNNNNNNNNNNNNNNNNNNNNNNNNNNNNNNNNNNNNNNNNNNAAGACAUAGAAACGUAUCAAUACCAUCAAAACAUAUCAAUAUAGACAUGAAAUCUAGUUUCAAAGACCUCGUCACAGCAAAUUUAAUGAUGGAAAUAGAUUUUUAAUUUGGCUUUUCGUUUAAGGGAUAAGACAUUUUGAAUUUUGAGAAAAUGAUGUUUACAUCAUCUACAUUUGUUUUCACUUGCAUGUAUGCAUGGAUGCCAUUCCGCACUUUCCCUCGUCAGGGACUGUUCGCCCAUUAUUACAGUCGAAAACUAAAACAAUGAUAUGUACUCCCUCUGUUCCUAAAUAUAAGUUUUUUAAGAGAUUUCAAANNNNNNNNNNNNNNNNNNNNNNNNNNNNNNNNNNNNNNNNNNNNNNNNNNNNNNNNNNNNNNNNNNNAAUGAUAUGUAAUUACAUACUCUUAAAAAUAAUAAUUAAAUAAAAAGACAAUCCUUGGAAAUUACCAGUCUAGUCUUAUUCUAAGACCUGACGAAACAUUAUUGAGUACCCGUCAUAUACAAGAGGAUUCGCUAGCAAAGGACUAUCAGAAAGGUUCAGGCAAUCUGCUGCCCAGGUCAUACACGAUUAUUCAUCAGGUUGGACACAAGCUAAGCUGCUUUCCUUCUGGAGAGUAAUUUGAAAAACUGUUCAAAGGCAGGGUAGAAUGAUCAUCCUUCGUGAUACACUAAACUGGAAACAAAAAACUCAGCUCGAUGCAUUUACAUGGACAGAAAUCGAAGUAUGUAACGGGUGAAGCUACCAUCAUGCCUCCAGGUCGUUCAGGUUUCUCGGAACUUUGACAAAAAGUUUUGAAACGAAGAGAAACCUUCCAUCGCAUCGUGCGGCAUGUUAAGCGUGAAAGGGGGAAGAACACUCGGACCAGCCUUCAGGUUCUUCGGGCCAGCGGCUGACGGUAGCGCAAGUGCAGGCUGCUGUCUGUUGAGCUUUUCUAUGAUGUACGAGAAAGUUCCAAAAGCCAGGCAGCUCUGAAUCAGAGUUUGCGGUGCACCU